rnacentral:lncRNA from 1 species
AGCAAUCAGGGUCCGAAUGGGUAGAUCCAUUCAGCCCAAUUUGAGUUUUUCAGGGGCCCAAUUGCCCCAAGAUUAAGCUAAUGGGAUCACCUCCCAUUACCAACUUAAUCAUUGUGCUAACUACGAUAAAUCCUAAGACAAUUUCUGCAGCUUGCUCUAGUGCGUCAAUCGCUUCUUCCGGCGAGUUUCCGGCGAACUUUCGUCGAUCAUCUGAUGAACCCUCGGUGAUUCUCCUGCGGACUUCCGGCAAACUCCUGGACUUGCGACGAUCCACUUGGCGAGUUCCGACGAGCUUCUUUGGCAAGCUUAUGGACUUCUCGGAUUUGUUCCCGCAGAACCUCCGACGACUGUCCGAACUUCCGUCGAGCUCUCGAACUCCCAACGUAUUGUCAUGACUCCGGCGCAACUCUUGCUGCAUGUCUUACUUUCAUCGUAGUUAAUCCUGCACACUUAUCUCAACAUAUAGGUUAGACAACAAAUGACAAUUGACUUCAUCAUUAAAAUCCGAGAUUCAACAAUAUAUAAUUUUAAUUAAUUAAAAAUACUAUGACUAAUUUCUAAUUAAUUAAGAUUAUAUGAACUAUUAGAUAUUUUAGACAUAUAAAAUGGACUCACAAGCAUAUAUAACCAAAUAUGCAUAAGCAUUUUACUAACUUCAUGUAUUUAAAAGUUAUAUUCUCAUGAUUUGCAACAUGAAAUAUAUCAAAAAGUUUCAAAAAUAAACCAAAAUAAAGUCAUAUUCAUGGGAUAAAAAUAAAAACUUUUUCAUAUCAACGCAGAGGUCAAAGGGCUCUGAUAUCAAAUGUUAGAAAUGUUUUAUACCAAAAUAUGUUUCUAAAUCAUUAUAAUAGAAACACAAUAAAACUAAUGCGGAAACGAAAUAGUAUACCUCCAACCAUUGUUGUCAAGAAUUUCAGCAACAAUUUUUUCUUGAUAAUUUCUUUUUGAACUUUGGCACUUCUCGGCUCAGAACUCUCGCUUUAGAUGGUGUAGGAAAUUCUUUUGACUUCAAAGAGAUGUUGAGCCCGAGGACCAAAAUCCUCGUUUAUAUAGAUGUUCUCUCGUAAGAACAUUUAUUAUCAUUAACUUAUAACGGUCAAGAAUUAAUUCAAAUUUAUAAUAUUUAAACCAUAACGAAGAAUUUUAAUGAUAUUAAAUAUUUAAUAAUAAUGAUUCAUUUAGAAUGAAAAAUCAAAAUAUUUAAACCACAAUGAAUGAUGAAAUUGAUUAUGAACUUAAUGAGAAUGAUUACAUUAUUAUUAAAUAAAAUAUUUAAUAAUAACGGUUACAAAUAAUAUAUAUAUUAUCUUAAAACUGUUCAUAUAUAAGAAAAUAAGAUAGCACAACACUAAUUUCACAUCAAUUAGGGAGUUUGAGAAACAAGAUAUUAUAAUAACACUCGAGCCUUCUCUUUUCGAGGCACCGACGUUUUGUUGAGGAGUUGUUCAUUGGACUUAUUACACUAUAUACUUAAUUCGCUCAACACGGUUUGUAAACCAUAUGAAGAAUUAUACAAUCAAUCUUUUCUCAACAAGAUUUUACCCAUAACUUAAUCAACUCAAUUGUGAUAUGAUUUGACGGACUAUCAAACUCAAAACAAAUUAGUCCAAAAGUGACAUAUUUAACACGCCCAGUUUGAUUACUAGUCACCAAGCCCAACUUAAAAUUGAAUUGCGCUGUGUUGGGCCAGGUCAAAUCCAAGUCAACCCAUGUCCAAGGUUAGUGGAAUUGUUAUCUGACCCAUAUAACAAAAGUGUGGGUAGUUCCAUUAUUCUUUACUAGUGUGCAAUGGAAAAGGAUUCGUAAUCACUUCCUUAGAUUAUACAAUCAAAGUAACUUCCUUCUGUGAUUAAUUAGCAUGAUGUUGAUGAUAAAUCAUACAACCACAAUGACAUUCUUUUAGUCCUUGGUCUGAUUUUAAAUGAGUGGCAAUUAUAUUUUUGGAGAGAUUUUAAUAUUUCAGUCAAGUUUUUGAUUCUUUGUGUUAUGAAUAAUUCCCGCACUAUCAAUCACAAUGUAAGUUAGUGAUUCUAGCAGGUUGAGUCCUUUUUCUCGGGGAUGAACUGUUAAUACUAGUUCUACAUUUUGUCUUUCCUCAACGGUUAAUAUUUGUCCGCUAAAUAAGAGGAUAGAGGUAUAUAGUCAGGCAAGCAACGUAGAAGUCCUUUACAUGCAAAAUAGAUAUUUCUUUCUUGAUUCCAUUAUCACUAUUACCAAAAUACUAUUGGUCAUACGUGGGCUUCAACAAAUUGGAUCGUUUGAGUCAAAUCAAAGAAAUUAGAGAGAGAGAGAGAGAAAGGGCAAAAUGUGUGACGGCAGCGUGCGUGCGUAGGUGCGCAUGUAGCGUGCGGUCGCAUGCAGAAAAAAAAAAAAAGAAGAGAGAAAGAUUAGGUUUCUGAGUUUUCUAUUUGACGAUCGGUGGUCAAACGUUGUCAGUUUCGGUCCAAAUUUUAUGUGGAGAAUCCUUACAGCAAACUCUACAAUCCUAAUGGUGUUGAUCUACAGUUUACCCUCUCUAAGGUACUUUCCUACUAUAUUCAUUCUGUGAGACAUAGAAUUCUCUUUUGAGGAGAUCCAUCCUAUAUGAUGAUAUGCUAGAGUCAAGAUCUAUGUUCUUGAUGUUAUUCUGAUCCUCUAGUUAUUCUAGAGAAGACCUACUAUAAACCUAUUAUCAUUAUUAUUGAUAGUGGAAGUUUGAAGUGGACUACGGUCCCGUGGUUUUUCUCACAUUGGAUUUUUCACGUUAAAAGAUUUGGUCUCACUGUGUGAUUGAAGUUUUGCUCUAUUAUUUAUGCUGUGCUAGUUGAUAUUUUCAUUUGGAUAUCAAGUUGGUAUUUUGAUGAGGAACCCAUUUUGAUACACAAAGAGGGAAAAGAAUAUUCCGCUUUAAUAGGUUUUUCCCAAUAAGUGGUAUCAGAGCAGUAGGUUAUUUGGUGCUAGUUUUCUUGUGUGAUUGAAAUGGAGCAGUCGGAUGGUAUGAUUAAAUUGAACUCAUCAAAUUAUUCAACUUGGAGGCGUAUGAUGGAAUAUUUACUUUAUUGCAAAGAUUUGUAUAAGCCUAUCAAGGUUAAAGAUAAACCUUCUACUAUGGACGAUGAAGAAUGGGAAGUUCAACAUAGAAAAGCUAUUGCCUAUAUUAGAAGAUGGAUGGAUAUAAACUUGCAUGAGCAUAUUUCAAAUGAAACCAGAGCUGAUGUUAUUUGGCAAAGGUUAGAAAACCUCUUUGCGAAAAAGAUAGUGGGAAAUAAAAUUUCUCUCCUUAGAAGGCUUGUAAAUUUGAAGUAUAAAGAUGGUGGUAACAUUGUUGAGCACAUAAGCCUAUUUCAAAGUCUUACAAAUAAGUUGGUUGCUAUGAAAAUGAAUAUAGAUGAUAAGAUGCAGGGAUUAUUACUUCUCAACUCUUUACUAGAAAGUUGGGAAACAUAUGUGGUGACAAUUUGUAACUCCACGCCAGAGGGGACUCUAACUAUAGAUAUGGUUAAAGACAGUUUGCUAAAUGAAGAUGCUAGAAGGAAAGAACAGGGUGAAUAUUCUUCUGGGGCAUUUGUUACUGAAAAACAAGAAAGACGUGGAAGAAGUCAGAAAUCCAUAUGGUUAUAGAGGAAGAUCCAAGUCUAGAAGAGAUAUUAAAUAUUUUCACUGUAAUAGGCCAGGUCACAUGAAGAAAGAGUGUAGGUUUUGGAAGCAAGAACAGAAUGAAAUGAAGAAAAAUGAGAAAGAGACCAAUACAGUUGCUGCUGAAGGUAAUAUCACUAUUGUCUGUGGUGAAGGUUGUGUUAGUCUUGUAGCUCAGGACAGUAAUUGGGUAAUUGACUCUGGUGCUUCAUUUCAUGUUACUUCUCAUGGUGAUUUCUUUAGAUCUUACACUGUUGGUGACUUUGGUAAUGUCAAAAUGGAAAAUAGUGGUAUAUCUAAGAUUGUGGAUAUUGAAGAUAUUUGCUUGGAGACCAGUAUUGGGAGCAAAUUGAUACUCAAUUUGUAAGACAUGUUCCAGAUAUUUGUCUUAACUUGAUAUCUGCAAGUAGACUUGAUGAUGAGGGCUUUGCACACUAUUUUAGUGAAAGCAAAUGGAAACUCACUAAAGGUUCUCUGAUUAUGGCAAGAGGAAAGAAACUAAACUCUUUUUAUGUCAUGGAAGCUAAGCUACACAAAGGAGAGAUUAAUGUAAUUCAAAAAGGUGAAAGUAUAGAUCUUUGGCAUAAGAGGCUUAAACAUAUCAGCGAGAAGAGACUUCAAACUCUUGCUAGAAAGCAGUUCUUACUAGAGUUGCAAGGUACAUCUCUUAAAUCUUGUGAUCAUUGCUUAGUUGGAAAAACAAAUAGAGUUAUAUUUCAGACAUAUCCAUCAUCUAGAAGAUCAGAUGUUAUUGAUUUAGUUCAUACUGAUGUUUGUACUAUGUAAACUAGAACUCUUGGAGGUGCUCUUUAUUUUGUUACUUUUAUUGAUGAUCAUUCUAGAAAAGUGUGGGCUUUUACUUUGAAAUCUAAAGACCAGGUACUCGAUGUUUUCAAGGAGUUUCAUGUCAGUGUUGAAAGAGAAACUGGCAGAAAACUAAAAUGUGUUCGAUCAGAUAAUGGUAGCGAGUACAUGGGUCCUUUUGAGAAUUAUUGUAGGUUCCAUGGUAUCAAGCUUGAGAAAACAGUUCCUAAACUCCUCAACAGAACGGUGUGGCAGAAAGGAUGAACAGAACCAUUGAAGAAAGGAUUAGGUGUAUGCUUUCCCACGCCAAGUUAUCAAAGUCAUUUUGGGGGGAGGCUAUGAGAACUACAAUUGAUCUGAUAAAUCUUUCUCCAUCAGUUCCUCUGAAAGGUGAUGUUCCAGAGAGAGUAUGGAGAGGAAAAGAUAUAUCUUAUAAUCACUUAAGAGUCUUUGGGUGUAAAGCAUUUGUUCAUAUUCCCAAAGAUGAGAGGUCCAAGCUUAAUAAUAAGGCAAAAGCAUGUAUCUUCUUGGGAUAUGGUCAUGAAGAGUUUGGGUACAGAUUAUGGGAUCCAGUGAACAAGAAGAUUAUUAGAAGCAGAGAUGUUAUGUUUCUUGAAGACCAAUUGUUUGAUGAUGGUGAUAAUAUUGAGAAGCCAGAUACCUCUAUUUAUACUCCUUGGAGUUUGGGUCCAGUUCCUUCACCUGUAGUUCAUGAUGAUCAUGGGGGAGAUGAACAAGAUGAUUGUGGUGAGAAUACCAGUGAUGAUACACCUACAAUUGAUGAUGCUGAACCAACUGAACAAGCACCUCCACCACCAGUUGAGAUUCCACUGAGAAGAUCCACUAGAGAGCGACAACAAUCUNNNNNNNNNNNNNNNNNNNNNNNNNNNNNNNNNNNNNNNNNNNNNNNNNNNNNNNNNNNNNNNNNNNNNNNNNNNNNNNNNNNNNNNNNNNNNNNNNNNNNNNNNNNNNNNNNNNNNNNNNNNNNNNNNNNNNNNNNNNNNNNNNNNNNNNNNNNNNNNNNNNNNNNNNNNNNNNAGUUCAUGAUGAUCAUGGGGGAGAUGAACAAGAUGAUUGUGGUGAGAAUACCAGUGAUGAUACACCUACAAUUGAUGAUGCUGAACCAACUGAACAAGCACCUCCACCACCAGUUGAGAUUCCACUGAGAAGAUCCACUAGAGAGCGACAACAAUCUACCAGAUACCCUCCACAUGAGUAUGUUAUGCUUACUGACGGGGGAGAGCCAGAAACUUACCAAGAAGCUAUUCUACAUAAGAAUAAGAAUGAGUAGGUUAAAGCCAUGCAAGAAGAGAUGAGAUCCUUGCUUGAGAACCACACCUAUAACUUAGUAAAAUUGCCUAAAGAGAAGAAAGCUCUCAAGAAUAAGUGGGUCUACAAAUUGAAGACUGAAAACAAUAGCUCACAACAAAGAUACAAGGUAUGACUAGUUGUGAAAGGAUUCAGUCAGAAGAAAGGUAUUGACUUUGAAGAAAUAUUUUCUCCAGUUGUAAAAAUGUCCUCUAUCCGAGUUGUUCUUGGUUUAGCUGCCCGCUUGAAUUUAGAAGUUGAGCAACUUGAUGUGAAAACAGCAUUUCUUCAUGGUGACUUAGAAGAAGAAAUUUACAUGGAGCAACCAGAAGGUUUCAAAGUCAAGGGAAAAGAAAAUAUGGUGUGUAAGCUUAGGAAAAGCUUAUAUGGACUCAAACAGGCACCUAGACAAUGGUAUAAGAAGUUUGAUUCCUUUAUGAUGAGCCAAGGGUAUGAUAGAACCACAUUUGAUCAUUGUGUGUUUAUGAAGAAAUUUUUAGAUGAUAAUUUUAUUAUUUUACUACUAUAUGUUGAUGAUAUGCUGAUUGUUGGCCAUGAUGUUGGAAAAAUUGGAAAGCUUAAAAGAGAGCUAAGUAAGUAUUUUGCCAUAAAAGACUUGGGAUCGGUGAAACAAAUACUUGGCAUGAAGAUUCUUCGUGAUAGGAAGAAAAGGAAGAUUUGGCUAUCUUAGGAGACGUAUAUUGAAAAAGUUCUUGAAAGAUUCAACAUGAGUAAAGCCAAAGCAGUUUGUUCUCCACUUGCAGGUCAUUUCAAGCUUAGUUUGAAACAAUGUCCUACAAGUGAGAAAGAAAAAGAAGAAAUGUCUAGAGUGCUUUACUCAUCUGCAGUAGGCAGUUUGAUGUAUGCUAUAGUUUGUACUAGGCCAGAUAUAGCUCAUGCAGUUGGAGUUGUCAGUCGAUUUCUCUCUAAUCCUGGAAAGGAACAUUGGACAGUAGUGAAAUGAAUAUUAAGAUAUCUAAGAGGUACUUCCAGAUUAUGUUUAUGUUUUGGCAGUGAUGAACCUGUGUUAGAAGGUUACACAAAUGCAGACAUGGCAGGUGAUACUGAUUCCAAGAAGUCCACUUCGGGAUUCUUGAUGACAUUUGCAGGAGGAACAGUCUCUUGGCAGUCUAAGUUACAGAAGUGUGUUGCUCUAUCAACCACAGAAGCAGAAUACAUAGUAAUUACUGAAGCCUACAAGGAAGCUUUAUGGAUGAAAAAGUUUCUACAGGAAUUGGGCUUGAAACAGGAAGGAUAUACUGUUUACUAUGACAGUCAUAGCGCUAUUCACCUCUCCAAGAAUUCAACAUACCAUUCUAGAUCCAAGCAUAUUGAUGCGAGAUAUUACUGGAUUCGUGAUGUGCUUGAGUUGAAAAAAUUACAGUUGGAAAAAAUGCAUACUAAUGAGAAUGGAUCAGAUAUGUUGACAAAGUCUUUGCCUAAAGAGAAGCUUGAAGCAUGUAGGCGAAGAGCGGGCUUGGUACAGCCCACCAUAUGAGCUAGAGGGGGAAAAUUGUUGGGUCCAGCCCAUAUGUGGGCUUUGACAAAUUGGGUCGUUUGAGCCCAAAUCAAAGAAAUUAAAGAGAGAGAGAGAGAGAGAGAGAGAAAGGGAAAAAUGUGUGACGGUAGCGUGCAUAGAUGUCCGUGUAGCAUGCGGCGGCGUGCAAAGAAAAGAGGAGAGAGAAAUAGAGAGAGAAAGAUUAGGUUUUUGAGUUUUCUGUUUGACGAUCAGUGGCCAAACGUUAUCAGUUUCGGUCCAAAUUUUAUGUGGAGAAUCCUUGCAGCAAACUCUACAAUUCUAACGGUGUUGAUCUGCAGUUUACCCUCUCUAAGGUAUUUUCCUGCUAUAUCCACUCUGUGAGACCUAGAAUUCUCUUUUGAAGAGAUCUAUUUUAUAUGAUGAUAUGCUAGAGCCAAGAUCUAUGUUCUUGAUGUUAUUCUGAUCCUCUAGUUAUUCUAGAGAAGACUUACUGUAAACCUGUUAUCAUUAUUAUUGAUAGUGGAAGUUUGAGAUGGACUACGGUCCCGUGAUUUUUUUCACAUUGGGUUUUUCACGUUAAAAGAUUUGGUCUCACCGUGUGAUUGAAGUUUUGCUCUAUUAUUUAUGCUGUGCUGGUUGAUAUUUUCAUUUGGAUAUCAAGUUGAUAUUCUGAUGAAGAACUCAUUUUGAUACACAAAGAGAGAAAAGAAUAUUCCACUUUAACAGAUUUUUCCCAACAAAUACUUUUAACCAUUAUAUGGUAGAAAAUUUGAACUGUUUCCGAACAAGUAGAAAAGACGAUUUGUUUCCAGAAAGCCCUUGUUCUAUAGUAGUAUAAAUAUUUUUUUUUUUUCUGGUAUCAAAAUAGGCAUUAUGUCAUUCACACAGUAUGAAUUCAAAUUUGCUAGCAUGCAUUAAUGACACGUUCCUGAUGCAAACCAGUUCUUGUUGCUCAUUUUGUCAGCCCUAUACCAAACUACACAACGUCAGUAUCAUAGUCCAUUGAUUAUGAACCAUUGUUCAGAAUUUUGUUUAAAAACUAGUAUUUGAUAUUUCAAGUUUGGAUCUGUUCUCAAUGCAGCAUUUUUAAACUUUAGGCCUCAGAAAGCUAGUGUUCUACAUACAAGGCAUGGACCCUUUUUAUAUUCUAUAGCCUAUUGGCUUGCAGAUAAUCUGGCUUGUUCUUCUAGAAGAACACCUAGAUUCGAUCUCAGGAGCUUAAACACCCAAUCAAAAGAUAGUUUUCAUGGGUAGCAGAGGAUGUAUACAUACUGAACUUUAAUAGCCCCUCUUAUAUGCAAUUAACAUUUAAGUGCCCACAAUCUGCCAUCCGUUCUAAUACCAUCAGAAAAGUUCUGAUUGGGUGAUCAAUAAUCUCAAGAGCAUUAGGAAACAGCUAAAUUGAUGUUAGAUUAUAACGUACAUAAAGGUAAUAAGUUGUCGACAACAAUGAGCAGGAAGAUCUCAAAGCAAACACUUGUAGGUGCAAAAGCCUCUCAAACUAGAAAAUCCACGAGAGAGAGAGAGAGAGAGAGAGAGAGUGUGUGUGUGUGUGUGUCCCCAUGCAUGCAUGGCGGACGCUAGCAAACAAGAGGUGUACAUGAAGAGUUAUCACAUGAACUUAGAGGAGUAAUUGUUCGGCCAGCAAAGCCUAUGACUCUUUAAUGCAACUGUGUCAGCAGACAGCUCCACAAUGAAGAAAACACGACCACAGUGGAGCAUAUACCAUAUUUUUCCUUCGAGUUCAUGGAACCAAUAAGAACUAUGAUGGAAGUACACUUCGUAAACAGGAGUUACCACAUGUAAAUAGGUAGUCUGUCAAGGUAACUAUGGUGUUUGUCUUUAGUCAAUUUCAGACCUACUCAUCCUUGAGACUACCAAAAAGAAUACCAUAUGUUUUUUAAGUGAUGGUAAAGAUGAAAGCAGAUGAUGGGUAUCUGUCAGCCUGCAAUCAACAUUUCGAUGGAGUUUGUCUUUCAUGCACAACGACAACACUGCAUCACCAUCUCUCUCUCUCUCUCUCUCUCUCUCUCUCUCUUCAUCAAGGCCCUCUCUGGUCUCUCCUAUCGCAUUGACCAGUAACUGGAAACAGUCCAGGGUUUAACAUCUGUCUGCUUAGUGUGUACUAGCUAACUGGCAAAUCAAGAGAGCACAAAAGGAUGUCCACAUGCAUGUAAAGCGUGGUCCAGUGCUUGGGAGCUGAGCCUCUUCUUCAAGACUUCCAUGGUCGCAUGAUGUAAACACCACUGAAUCGGUACUUGAGAAUGCAAUGCUGAUGCACUUAUGGUACACAUUGGAGUCAUUGUGUUAUGGAAGACAGGAAAUCUCUGCAACUCAAUAUCAGAAUACAGUUGCUGCAUAUCUCAUAACAUUGGACGAAGGAAGAGACAAGAUGUGAAAACAAGAGAGACAAGAUAACGAGUCAUGAGACUGGAAAUAGCAUGCAGGCAUGGAUUUCAAAUCCACUCACCUUGGAAACCUCUGUGCCUUCUCAUUGUCUUCAACUUCUCUGUGAUAUUAUCUUCUUCUUCUCCAUUGCCAUCAUGCAUCUGAUAGUUUGAUAUUUCUGUGUCUCAAUAUCUCAUCUAUUUUUGAGACAGCAGAAGAGAUGCAAUGACUUCAUCUAUUUAGCAUUUCCAUUUCUCCAGCCAAACAUAGAUCAACAAGAAGAGUCAAUCUUCUUUCUCUGACACCGAUGGAUAUGAAUCGGCAGAACAAUGAAGUCUCAGCUAUGAAGGAUUAGAAAGGUGGCCUAAUCCCACCACCACCCCAUCCAAAAGCAUCGCUUGGGAACUGGUAACUCCCCAUGUUACCACUCAAGUUAUAGAAGGGAACACCGCCGGCGCCGCUAGCACUACCGCCGUCUCCGCCGCCUCCGGAAACGCCCGAAGACUGCGACACUGCCGGCUGCUGGCUCUGCGCGGCAGCUGCUUCCUCCUCCUCGCCUUCCAGUGGCAGCCGCUCGUAUACCGCAUUGGCGAAGGACGCCACCAUCAGCAUCACCGGACCCGUCGCCACCAGCGGCCCCCCCACGCUGCCUCCCAUCACCUGCCCCUGGCCUCCGGCCAAGAACACCGACAACCCGCUGGCGCCAGGAGGCGCCGGCGGCGGGAGGACGGUCCCCGUCAGCGACAGAAUCUCGAACCGGCCCCUGAGCGUGGCCACCAUGCUCCCCGGCGGCGACGCCCCGGGCUGGCGGAGGGCCACGUUGGUUACCGCGCCGGUGCCGCUGAGGACGGAGACCCCCCGCCCCCGUCGCCGAGAGUACUCGGAUACGCACUCGAAGACGUCCGCCCCGCUGGCGACCUCGAUCAUGUGGGAGCGGAGGGCGUUGGGGCUGUCGCGCGUGACUAUGAUCGGGGGCUUCGGUUUGUUCUUGGAGCCCGGGGGACGGCCGCGGGGGCGGCGGACAGGGCCCCCGGAAGUGCCCGCCGGGGAGGAGUCAGACGGAUGAUCGCUGCCGCCACGGUCGGAGGAAAGCUUGGGGCUUUCCUCCGUGGAAGGCUCGGAUUCCUGCGGCGGGAUUUGGGUCGACGGCUGCGGCGGGCGAAGGAGGUGGUGGAGGUAGCGCGAAGAACUUCCAUCGCCGCCGCUUGCACUUCCGGAUUCCAUCCCGGCCAUCGCUCACACAUCUACUCUCUCCCACCACUUGUUUGCCAGCUUCUCUUCUCCGCUCUUCUUCACCUCGCUCUCAAAGAUUCUCUUCUCUUGCUUUUGAAUUCAAAGCUUUAACCUUUUGUCCCUCAAACCAACUCCAAAGAUGAGAUUUUUCUUCUUCUUCUUCCUUCUUGGAUAGACUCCAGGGUGUUUCAGUGCGCUUUACACCGAUUAAAUCGCUUACAGUAAUAUUCAGAAACAAAAAACAACUCAGAUUCGUACUUCAAAAGAGUCGAGAAUUAACCGAGAUGAGUUUAAUCUCCAGGACCAUCAGCAGAGGCCUUCUCUCUUAAUUGCACCACUGACCGAGCUAUAUAACAAACGAUCUCUUUUUCCCACAAGACAGAUCUCAUCUCCAGCGGAAAAAUCAAUACAUCGAGGUAGAUCUAGUCCAGCAAAGCCAGGAAAUCACCCAAGAGCCAGCGGCUCCUUUCUCCGAUCCUUCAAGAACAAACAUAAGCCACGAAGAAUUCUUUGCAGCAGAACGCAUGAUGCUGGAUCUGCGUUACUGUCCUCCUCCUCAGACAGAAAGGUGGUCUCAGAGCUGAGUUUUGGAUGGAGGAAGGUGGGUUCUGAGAGAAGGAAAAGAUGGUGGGGUUGUGCACAAAAUGUCUGGAAAGCAGAUGAAAUGGCUUCGAAGAGAGAGAGAGAGAGAGAGUUUACUCACAUAGUAACUGUCUAUUAUAUGGACUUAGCCAUAAGAGAGAGAGAGAGAGAGUUUUCUCACAUAGUAACUAUCUAUUACAUGGACUUACCAUAACUUCUAUAGUGCCUGUAAAAGCAUGCAUACAGUAUAAUUAGAGAGAGAGAGAGAGAGAGAGAGUUUUCUCACAUAGUAACUGUCUAUUAUAUGGACUUAGCCAUAACUUCUAUAGUGCCUGUAAAAGCAUGCAUACAGUAUCAUUAGAGAGAGAGAGAGAGAGAGAGAGUUUUCUCACAUAGUAACUAUCUAUUAUAUGGACUUAGCCAUAACUUCUAUAGUGCCUGUAAAAGCAUGCAUACAGUAUAAUUAGAGAGAGAGAGAGAGAAAGAGAGAGAGAGAGAGAGAGAGAGAGUUUUCUCACAUAGUAACUAUCUAUUAUAUGGACUUAGCCAUAACUUCUAUAGUGCCUGUAAAAGCAUGCAUACAGUAUAAUUAUAUAGGUUAGCCAGUACCUGUAUCCUACGAUGUCAAGUCAAAAGAACAGAUUGAAGGUUGAAGGUGCAAUAAUCCCAGGGUGCAACAAGGUCAUUGUUCUUUUACGGUUUGGCUUCCCAUAUAGAUUUGGGUUGGGUUUGUCUGGCUUCAUCUGCUCCUUUUGACCAAUCAUGCUGGCUACUUUGGCCCCCUUGCAAUAUCAGGGAAAUAUAGCCCCAUCUGCUGCGUCAUUGAGAGGAAAAGAAGUACCGACUCAUGCAGACUCCAAAAUGGAAUUCUCAAGCUUGGGACCAUGUAGUGGUUGAGACUAUUAGUGCCUUUGACCCACAGCAGAUAAGCGUAUGAACUCAGAGCGGCCUCCCUUGUGAUCUCUGCAUGAAAGAACCAGAUUUAACCUUGUAACUUUGCCCACUUACAUGCAGCAGCAGUACUACGUGCAGAAGAAAUCAAACCCACAAAAGAAGUUGGUCCUUCUUUUCCUUGUCUAUGAAACUUGCAUCACUGAGGAAGGUGAACUCGCCGAGGAGGAAGAAGAUGACCGGGAGACAACUGCGGGGUCAAGAUGGACGGGGCACGUGCAGUCAGCGGGUCUAAGGGUGGCGCUCCCAGGCGAUACAGCUGUCCGACACGUGGAGGUCGGUCGGGCAUUGGAACUUGGUCAACCUUAUCUGUUGCAGUGUGUCGCCUGCGUCUGCGUGCCAACGGCAGAACCUCCACCUUGGGGGUGCCCAUUAAUUGGCUGAGACCGGGGCCCCGGUCUGUGGCCCCACCAUCUCCAGCCUGGAGCCAGUUCAUUCACCAUGGUGCUUUAUAUGCUAAAUUACCAGAUUUACCCCUAUAAAUAUAUAUGUGUAUUAAUAUUACAUGUAUUUAUGUGUAUCGCUGUCAAAAUUUUGAAAUUUAUGUGUGUAAAUAUAAAACUUCGGUUCAUAUAAUAUAUUUAAACUAACUAUUAUUAAUUAUAAUUAUAUUAAAAUUAAAAUAAAUAAAUACCUUAUUAUCUGAUCAAUUAUUUGUUCUUUCAUGUUUUUUUAAUAUUUUUAUGUUAAAGUAUUUAAAAAAUAAAACUGUCAUAUGGAAGUAUGCCCACUUGGGAUAUUCAACAAAUUGCAACUUAGUUUUAUUUUUAAUUUUUUUGUCUAUUUUGAUAUAUUCCUUAAUUUUAGGGUUCAUGGGCACCUAAAUUUUUAUAGGACGCAUGGUCUCUUUUAUGUUUAUUGUCGAUCAAUGGUAGACCUCUAUACCUUCGAUUUUUAUAGCACGGGUUAUCUUAAAUAUAAUAAAUAUUUUUUUAUAAUAAAUAUUUUUGAAGGAUAUAUUAAUAUUAAAUUUAAAUUAUAAAUAUCGUUAUCAACUGACUAGAAUUAACCGUAAUAUGUAUUUUAAUGUGGAUGGGGGUAUAUAUGGUCAGCUAAUAGAUCAAACAUAAACAAACAGAUCAGGUCAGAGAAGAUGCAUGCUUUGUCUUAGGUUUCUUCAAUCACACAAUAGACUCUGUGAAAUAUAAGUAAGCACAGUAGUACUUGGAUAUAGUGUCGAUGUACGCUUGUGGAUGGAACUAUUUUGUCUGGUUUCAGAUGCUCUCGUUGCUAGAUUUGGUUUUAGCUUCAGAAUUGAACUUAAUGUAUUGUAUGCAUAUAAAAUGAGAGAUUCCUAGUCUAGUUAAUAUAGUAUUAUUGUGCAAGUGAUAGACAAUCUUCUAAUUAAAAAAAGAAGAAAAAAAAAAAAAGGUUUCUCACUUAAUCCUAAUCCUCAAUUUAUAUAAUCUAAUUUUUAAUAUUAGAGAAUGAUUUGAUGGGGCAUAUCUCUUCGAAAGACUCAUUUCGCACUUCAUCCGAGUCUCAAGUUCACAAAUAUAUUCUAAUUUGAACAUAAAGAUUCCAUCCGAUGCCAUCUCUAUUUGCAUCGAAAAAAUCUUUAUUUUGACAAUCAUUUUGAACCACAUUUGUUCCAUUUAUCCACCUCAAUCUAUCUCAACAUCACAUUGUUGUUAGGACUACAAGAUUUUCUUGUCGAAGAACUAACUGCAGUAGGACAGAUCGAAGAACUCGAACACGCCAAGUAAGUGGAGACUUUAACUUGAAGAGAUGGCCAUUCCAACCCCUGUGUGUCACAUCAACUAUUCACUCUGACAACCACCGUGCACACCUGCUACUGAGUUAGCCCAACUCCCAGUUGAUAUAUCCAUCCAUCUUCACACCAAGUUAAUUCUGAGCUCGACUUCUUCGGCAAACGAACCACCUGUUCGACGAAAUUACCCGACGCCGUCAUGUUGCUGCUCUUCGACUCUCUAUGGCGAUCGGUGUCGCGACGCAGGUUGACGCAGCUCCAGCACCCACAUAAACGACUAAUGAUCUCAUGGACCGAAAGCGUGGGAGCAGAUUGGCUUCUUAUAAUAAAUAAUUCUCGGCGAGCGGCGCUUUGUCUUUUGUCGGAAUCCAUGUGCGUGCGUGCGUGCGUGCCAAUCGCCCGCCCCAUGUCCUGCUCCUCGAUCCAACCACACCAUCCCACAUCUCCACAACUUUAACCCGAUGCUUUUUGAUCAUUGCUUAAGCAAACCCGAUCUGAGCUUUGUUUACGAGCUCGAAAUGAUAGCACAUGAGCUGAUGUGGGGCUGGUGGAACUCUUUCUCGUGCCCAGACAAACAGUUAUGUGGAAGGAGACGUGAGUUGGCCUUCAUUUCUCUUUAAAUAGAAAAAUCGGGGAUCCCGGCUACCUGGCGCGAGCCGAUUCGGCGGACGCUGCGGCUGGCAGGGGUGGACUGGGUCGGCAAGCACCCCACCACGGGGGGUGAUCAUGAAAUCCGAUCGUGAUAAGGUCACCCCACCUUGAUGAGAUUGAGGAGACCGCCUACAAGAAAACCUGCUUCCACGAGUCUGAGUCUGAUCUUGAAAACCAGGGGAGGAGCUGAAUCGUGAUGUGUGAGGUGGAAGGAUAGGUAGGUUUCGAGCUUAUCGCUUAUCCCAUGCUGUCUUCACCCACCUCGCCGGUGGAAAGUGAUGGCCGUCAUUGGUUUGAUCCCUGAUGAUGGGCAAUGAUACAAUGUCUGGGAUUUGGAUACUUGGGUUUGUUCCACAGUUAACCACACUCGGAAAAAAAAAAAAAAAAAAGGAGAAACCACAUAUGUUAUUAGCACACGCUGGAUUUGGAUACUUGUUUGUUCUACCAGUUAACCACACUCGAAAAAGGAGGAGAAACCACAUCUGAAUGAACAUAUGUUAUUAGGUCUGAAUGGUUUUCACAAUCAUCACUGGUGCCUACUGUGGAAGAAACAGAUGGAUAACAAGAUGAUCACGAGAUGUAAUGCAAGCCCCAGAACUGAAGGCCCCCAGCUAUGCACUUGGGCGAUUUAUUUUGUAAGGCCAACUGUUACGAAAAGAAAGACGAUGGAAAUAACCAGUUUCACCAACUUGGCAGCUUUAGAAUCAGUUUAAAAGUAAUCAUGUUGUGGAAAUCCUGCAUCCUUUUGGAUGAACACCAAUCAAAAUAGCAAUCAGUAGAGCAAGAGGCUAAACUCAUAGCAGCAGAUGUAAGCAGAAACUUCACGGGUUUUAUCCAAUGUGGGGCUCUGCACCACAUGUAGCAGCAGAUGAGUAGGGACAAUUUGCACAAAUGAGUACAAAAGAAGGGUUGGCCUGUGACUGUAUUUGGUAUGUUUUCUUUUCCGGAAAAGAUGUUCUAGGAUUUGACAGGCAUAUAAGCAUCUCCAUCAACGGAGGAGACACAUCCAUCAACAGAGAUCCACAGAGCAUGAGAUAGAAAUCGAGAUGCCUCACGAGCAGAAAUGCACACAUGAAAAGGGAAGAACACCGAGAGGGGUGUUUAAUGACUACCAAGAAGUUUCCCUUUAUUUCUUGACACAACAACAUAUAUUUUAUGAAUCUAUAUGGAGAUACUUGUGCAACAAUUUUUGUGCCGCUUACCACAAAAUAACUUUAAGCUAAGCAAGAAGCAGUCUCCAGAAUGUCCUCUUCAAGAAACUAUCAGAUCUAAUUGUCGUCAAACAGGAGCAUAUACUCUCUAACUAGAAAUAAGCAAGUCUGCGGAUGAAUCGGUUGUCAGAUUUCGUGGUUUCCUUUCUCUUGUCAUAUAUCAGACCAGUUUCCUGAGGGUUUCCUUCUUUCAACAUAGCGGUGAGGAUCUGAAGCUGCGGCUAAAGCAGCCCUUUCCUGAAGCACCAGAAGAGUAAAAACUUUUAUUAAAGAAGCAAUUAGACUGACACAUUCAUGCCCAUACGGCAUGGCCAUAUAACUUGCAAAACAGAUAUAGAUGCUUUAGACAGGAUACCAUGCAUUAGAAAAGCUAAGAUGCCAUAAUAAAAUAAACAAAAGCUUAUAACAAAAUGUCCUAAACCCAUACCCACGUUUUAAUUGCUGUGUUGGACUGGUACAAAAAGCAAAAAAACGAAAAAUGUUUUCAAGGCAAAUAAAUAUUAGUUAAAGGACAUGGAUCAAAGAUGCAAUCAUUUUAAGAUUAUUGUUCCUGGGAGGCACUUGUGAAUUUUGACAUUGUUACAUCUUAGUUGUCUUCUAAUAUCUGUGAAAACCAGACAUCCUCAGAAAAGAUCAAUUGAUAACUUCAUUAAUUGGAAAGAACCAGGACCACUCAGAUAAGCAUGUAAAUUUGUAUAUAUAUAUAUGUAUAUAUAUAUAUAUAUAUAUAUAUAUAUAUGUAUAUGUAUGUAUAUAUAUUUGUAUAUAUAUAUAUAUAUAUAUAUAUUUGUAUAUAUAUAUAUAUAUUUAAUCAUACUAUUAUGGGGUUGACAUAUAAAUAAAUGCAAGCAGAAUCAGUGGAAGCAAACAUGCCUACACCAGCUAGUCAUUUUUUAUUAUAAAGAUAAGAGCAUAGUCAUCUAUUGAGAAUUUGCAUCAAGCUUCUGCUCACCGAAAUCAACUUAUUUUGGAAAACCAAUUUCUAUAUGGAGGUCCUAUUAUGGUGACAUGAAAGCAUUAUCAACAUGGAAAAAAAAAAAAAGUAAAGCUUCAGGUUAGGUCAGAUUAUCCAUAGAGUAUUCGGUGUAUAAUUCUAGAGCCUUGGAGAAUCAACUCAUCUGAGUUAGGAGUGUAUAUACUAAUAUGAUGUAGCCACCUACGACCAACCUGGCAAUGUUACCACUGCUGCAGGAUCCUGAAGAUCGACAUGCUGCCUCUGGAACAAAAGUGUAUAUGUGAUGAUGAUUAACUCAUAGAGGUUGAUUCUAGCAAAGGAAAAUAGAGAUCUGUGGGUUGCCAUUCAAAUGCAAGAAUGUGCAAAAGAAACUUUUAGAUAGGCCCGCCACCACCCAGAGGAAGUCUGUCAAGGUGCCCGCCACCACCCACGAGGCUAGGUUGGCUCCGCCUCGGAGGCCGCCCGUCGCGUUCCCUACGAACGUUCUCAGGUUCCCCAGCCUUCUUCGCCAGCUCGCCAUCUCCUCUUCCACAUAUCUCAAGAAUGUGCAAAAGAAACUUUUAGAUAGGCAUGAUAUCUGAAGUUAAACCCAAAAUAUUUUUGAAAUAAACAAUUUAUGAUGAACUAAGCCUGAUAAUUAAUUUGUAAGAAGCAGACUUUCUCUUCGUAGCAAGAAUAUUUUGUUCUUGAAAUUUGGAACCAUAGGGAUUAGAAAUACUUGAAGUGCAGCUCCUGUAACAUGCGGACGAAGAUAUAAUUUAAAUAUGUAGUCAAAGAAUUCCAAAAGUAGAAUCUUUGACAUAUUAGUGGUACCAUUCAACAGGAACCGGAAAGCAAAGGAGACACAGCUGACAAAUCUAGUGGGUUAACUAAUAUUGUGACAUAUGAAAUGUGUGACCAAAUCACUCUCAAAUGAGAGAAAAAUUCAACGGAUGAGAAAUCAUUUGCGCUUCGUGAACCGAGGUCACGAUAAUUGAGGACAGAUAGGUCCAAUGGAUUGGAUUCCCUUGUAUCGUCUGGGGACUACGGCGUAGUGGCCUAGUACGUCCGUAGUCGAUGAAUCGAGUGAAUUAUUACAGAGAUAAUAAUUCAUUGAGUUAGAAGGAGUUCUGACAGGUAUGACUCACGGCCAGCUCGAUAUUGGGUCUAGAGGGUCACACACAUAUGGUAGGCAUUGCAAUGAGUAGAGGUUCGGAUAUGAGAUAUCUGACAGAGCCCUUGUCUUAUUGGAUAUCUAAUAAGCCCCUGAAUUAUUGGAUCCCAUGGACGAGAUCCAAUAAGAGCCCAUGAGAGAUUAUUGGAUAGAGAUCUACUAAUCUAAAAGGCUUGGGUUAUUGGAUGCAGAUUUAAUACCCACUAGGUGAGGAUCCAUUAGGGUUUAACAGGAGACCUCUAUAAAUAAGAGAGAUUCAGAGCCUCAAAGGCUAGAGCCUUUGCUUGCCUCUCCUAUUCUCCUUCCCCUCUCCACCUUAGAACAGGCCUGGAGUUUUGAGGAGCGUCAUCGCAGCCCUGCUGUGUGAAUCACCGCUAGAGAGGAGGACGCUUGACCUCCUUCACCCUCUCCUAAGGAUCUGCAAGGAAACAGGGAUAUAUGAUCUCCCUAGGUAACGUAAUAUAUUCUAUACGUAGUUUUUCCAGUUUCGCGGAUUUUACGUAUCAAUUUUCGCACGGCGACGAACAUCUCUUUGGGAAUCGGGGAUUUUGUUUUUCUUGUUCUUCCGCUGCGCAUCUGAUGUCGCCCCCAAGAUUUCCCAACAAAAUGUUGAGUUAUAAAUUUCUGUCAGUGAUCUGAAAUUUCUUGGAGGGGUUUCAUACGAGGAAUCAGAAUUUGAACUGCUAUUGGGUGAGGUUGACGAUGAACUUAUUGGAGCAGGAUCUGUCACUUGAUUCUGCGGAGUGUCUAGUUCUACUGGAAUCUGCAUUUGUGUUCCACCUUUAUUGGUCUCCCAAUUCCAAUUUGCCCUUUCAUCAAACAUAAUAUUUUUGUUAAUAAUAACUUUGCCACUAAUAGGGUUAUAUAAUCGAUAUGCUUUCGAUUAUAAGGAAUAACCAAUUAAGAUAUAUUUUUCAGAUUUUUCAUCAAGCUUAUGAUGAUUUUGUGAAUUCACCAAAGCAUAAGCAACACAACCAAAAAUUUUUAGAUGUCUAACACUUGGUUUCAUACCAUACCAAGCCUCAAAAGGAGUUCGAUUCAUAACAACCUUUGUUGGUGAAAUAUUCAACAAAUAAACUACUGUUGUAAUUGCUUCUGCCCAAAAUUGAUUUGAAAGAUAUUUUCCUUUAAGCAAACUUCUUGCCAUUUCAAUGACAGUCCGAUUCUUACCAGCUACACCAUUUUGCUCCGGUGUAUAUGGUGUUGUCAAUUCUCUGUGAAUAUCAUUUUCUUCACAAAAAGAAUUAAACUCAUUAGAUAAAAAUUCACCACCUCUAUUUGUCCGAAGUGUUUUUAUAUAUCUACCACUUUGUCUUUCUACAAGUGCCUUGAAUUUUCAAAAAUUAUCAAAUGUUUCAUAUUUCAAUUUCAAAAAAUAUACCCAUCUCAUGCGACUAUAAUCAUCAGUAAACAAUAAAAAAUAUUGACUACCACCAAAUGAUUUUUUAUUUAUAGGUCCACAUAAGUUAGCAUGAAUUAAUUCAAGACAAUUAGAUGUUCUCCAUGCUUUUCCAAUAGAAAAUAAUUUUUUACUUUGUUUGCCAUAAAUACAUCCUUCACAUACAUCAAGUGUAUUAAUCUUGGGCAAUACGAAAACCAUUCAUUUUUGACUUAACAACCUUAAACCUUUAAUGUUAAGGUGUUCAUAUCUUAAAUGUCAUAAACUAGACUCAUUCUUUUAAGUUACGGCAAGUGCAUACCUCUCAAUAUUUGACACAUCAAGUGAAAAUAUCUUGUUUUACAUCAUGCAAAUAUUUACUAUAAUCAAACCAGAUUUUUUAUCUUUAAUAGUGCAUGAACCAUCAUCAAAUAUUAUUGAAUAUCCAGCAUCUAUCAAUUGUCCAAUACUCAAUGAUAAAAUAGGAACAAAAAAAACAUUAUCAACAAAUUAUGUGAUAAAAUAGGAACAAAAUAUUGAUUUUAUGCCUGACAUAUGAUUAGAACAUCCAUUAUCUAAAAACUAAAUAUCAUUUGAGAUAUCAUGAACUUAUGAAUGAGUCAUAAACAAUUUACUAUUUUCUUCAUUUUCCUCCAUAUAGCUUGCUUGCUUUUCUCUUUUCUAGCAAUCUACCUUCAUUUAACCAAACUUUUUACAGUAGUGACAUUUAAUUUCACUCUUGUAAUUUUUUUUAUCAUAAUUUGAUUGCCCUUAUUCAUCAUGCCCAUCAAAGUGUCCUCUUCCUCUUCCAUUUCCUCUACCACGAAAUUCUCCUCUGCCACGUCCUCUUCCUGCUGAUUUUUUGUCUUCUUUUGAAGUAGAAGACUCCCCUUUAACCUGAAAUGUUUUUUCUUCAUUUUUUUCAAAUGACCUGUUCAACCUUACUUCAUGUGCUUGCAAGAAAACCAUUAGUUCAUCAAAUGAAUAUGUAGAUAAAUCUUUUGACUCCUCAAUUGCGGCAACAACAUGAUCAAAUUUCGGAGUUAAACUUCUCAAAACUUUUGCAACAAUUAUAUGAUCAGAAAGAUGUUCACCAUAAGAUUUCAUUUGACUAACAAUUUCAGUCACUCGAGAAAGAAAAUCUUGUACCGAUUCAUUGCUUUUCAUGAACAAAAUUUCAAACUCAUGACGGAGGGUUUGAAGUUUUAUCGUAAUCACCCUUGAUGAGCCUUGAAAUUCAUUUUGAAGUAUCAACCAAGCUUGCUUUGAGGUUGUCGCUGCUACAAUUCUUGAGAAGAUCGUCUCAUGUACAGCUUGUUGAAUGAAGAACAAUGCAUUUGAGUCCUUCUUUCUAUUCUCCCUCAGCCUGAUUUCGUCAUCUGGAUCCGCAUAUCCAUUCUCUAUCCUUUGAGUCCUUUCUAUUCUUCCUCAGCCUGAUUUCGUCAUCUGGAUCCACUUAUCCAUUCUCUAUUAAGUCCCAAAGAUCUUGAGACUUGAAUAGAGUCUUUAUCUUAAUACUUCAAAAUUCAUAGCUUUUGCCCAAGAAGAUGGGGAUAAGGAGUUGAGACAUGUAAUUGUCAUUAAAAGUCAUAAUGCCCAGUUCAGAUUGAAACUAGGCUCUGAUACCACAAAUGUUGGGGAUGAAGGAGCAAAAAAAAAACAGAAUAAUACGAGUAAAAAGAAUCCUUUUGACUUAAGAAAACUGAUGUAGUAGGAGGAUUGACAAGAACACUUAUAAGAUACCAAAUGCACACACUCUUUAUAUUCCUUACUUCAUGAACUACGGUCCUAUUUAAUCAUGUAACCAUUAGAUCAUGAUAACUAUCUAGAUAGAUAACUAUGAAUCAAAUCUCAAUAAGAAUUUCAAUAAGAAUUCGAAAUUCUAUUUAGUCAAGAUUGCACUACCAUUUAGGAUUAGUGAGAAGCUUCCAAUAUAAUAUAGAAUCAAAGAUCAUAUGGUCUAUGCUAAUAUUCACUUAUGAGGAAGCCACACUAGAUAUAUUGGAAUAAGAUUAUAGAUGACAUGCUACAUAUACUUGAAUCAAUAAGACCUGUCUUGAAUCACAUGAGACUUGGCUAUGUCAAGAUGAAAUGAAGGAUAGUUUUGUUCAUUUUCUGAGAACAGGUAAGAGAUAUAAUAACCAUGGAACUUUAAUUUGAUGGAAACCACAUAUCAAAUUUAACAAAAAAGAAAAAAACAAAAGAAUCAAGUGAUCAUUAAGUAAUAAAACUUAAGUUUAUCAUCUCCACAUAUGUAUCAUAUUUGAUAGCAACAAUUGGAAAUUUUUUUUGUUGAGAUUAGACCUUGAAAUAAUGAUAAUUAUAUCAGAGUUAAAUACUGUGUUUAGAAACCUUUCGGAGUUCUCACAUUAUCCAACACAAAUAAAAAUUACAUGCAUGACAGAAUUGUUAAUAAGAAAAUGGUACAGCAAAGGGAGUCACUUGAAUGCAACAGUAGCCUGCAAAGGCCAUCCUAAGGAACAGCUUAGAAGAAAUGGAAGAACCCACAAAAACCAAGAGAUAACAUCCGAUAGCUUCUUUUCAUCAGAUUUUUUUCUUUGCUGUUGUUUCCUUUAAAAACCUUUGUUCAUCCUUAGAAAAGCCAUUCUAGAAGAAUUUCAGCAGGCAGCCUUGGAGAAAUCUUUGCUGGAUCUGUUGUACUUCAUAUGACUCAUCACAAGUUGGCCAGCUGCAAGAGCUGAGAGGAGAGACAGCUCCCCAGCCAGAACUGCACCGGCCACGACAGUGGCGAGGCGUCUGGCAUUUGCACCAGGAGACUCCAAGCUUGCACCCUUCACACCAAGUAGGUCCAAGCAGGCAGCCUGGGAAGCAAGUUGAGUCCCACCUCCAACUGUGCCAACCUGUAUAAAAAAGAAAACAGUAUGAACUUCUCGUUCACAUGAUACCAGCUAACCUCUGGAUAUACCCGUACAUUUGAAUUAGGUCAUUUAACAAUGAUCACAGAAGAAAGAUGAGAAACAUGUCUGCAAGAUGACGAGUGGUUGUUUGAAAAAUGACAAGCAGGACCACACAUCAGCUCUACAGCUCAUCAUGUAAAUCAAAUUAAGGAAAUAUGUGGAGUAUUUGUUUGAGAACAUGGUCUAUUGAGUCGUCUUGUGGUCUUAUUAAUACAGAACCUAUCUCCUCAUUGCUAUAAUACAUAAAUUAAGAAAGAAUGAUUCCUACAAGCCUGUGGGAUUCAUAUGGCCAUCAAAAUACCAGAAUGGCCUAUUAAAGACUUGUCUUAGCAAAUUUAUGUUUAAAGUUCCAUUGUAUACAAAGCUAACUGAUUGGGGCUACAUUGAUCUCGCAAGUACCCAAAUCUCUGGUAAUCAAUAUGCCUGACAGCCACCUAAUAGACAAAAUUAAGAUGUGAAUAGAAGUUUAAGCCAAUCUUAAACAACUUGACCAAUUAAUUUAGUCACUGUAAAGAAAAAGAAAAGGACUCAAAAUAAAAGUUAAGAGAGAGAACAUGGAUCAAGACACAGAUCAAAAGUCUAUACCCACAACAUAAAAAGUGAUUAUCAUAAUAGUUUAGCUAUGAGAGAGUAAAAUAUGUAACAUAAAUCAAGGUAAGCAAUUUCGUACCGUACCGGAGUUUCAACGUUCGUUCGGUACGGUACGAAACUGUAUACCGAGCGGUAUAUCGUUCGGUGUAUAUAUAUAUAUAUAUAUAUAUAUAUAUAUAAAGGCGACGUCGCCUUUUCCUUCUCCCACGCAGGGCCACGUGGCGACGUCGCAUCGCCUCGUAUAUAUAUAUAUAUAUAUAUAUAUAUAUAUAUAUAUAUAUAUAUAUAUAUAUAUCAUGGUGUAUGAAUAAACAGAAGCGAUGUUAAACAAGAUAAAUCUGCUUAAUAAACCAAUGAGAUUGAUAUGUCAAUAUUACCUCAAUGGAUGGCAUGGUCACAGAGAUGUGAAGAUCCUUUCCAUCAUUCACAGCUUCCAUCAUGGUGAUACAGUGUGAACUCUCCACAUUCUGAGCUGGAUCUUGGCCAGUGGCUAUGUAGAUGGCAGACACAACGUUGCUAGCUUGAGCAUUGAAGCCCCCAAGAGAUCCAGCUAUGGCUGAGCCAGCAAGGUUCUUGAUCGUGUUGAGUUCCACUAAUGCAGGUAUAUUGGUCUUCAAAACCUUCCUUACCACCUCCUCCUUGAUGAUUGCCUCACAGACCACCGAUUUACCCCGUCCUUCAAUCCAAUUCACUGCAGCAGGCUUCUUGUCCGAGCAAAAAUUACCUGAUCAGUGCCAAGAGAAGCAUUACAAAACACAAAGUUUAAUAUCUCCUACUAAGCAGACAAGCAAGUUCAAUUGACACAGGUGAACUAGUCCUCUCUUAACCCAAUUUUGCAUCAACCAUAAUUGCUUGAAGUGAAUGAUACAAACAUUGGUAGCUACAUGGUUUGGCUUCUCUUAAAUCACACCAACAUAUUUAUAAUCAUGCAGAGUGUUCAUGAAUGUGCUGGUAAUGGCUAUUCAUGUGACAUUCAUGGAAGUUACCAAGAAACGAAAUGGGACCGACAGGGACCCAAGUCCAUCAUCGACCGGCUAGACUAGGCAGCAUGUCAUUUGUGUACAUGUUACAUGUACAUUUUACUCUAAUGGUUAGACAUGCCACAACCAUUCAAAAAAAUAUUUUUGAUCUCAAUAUGUCAAAGAUAGUCCACCAUUGAAUGACUGAUUUUUAUAUGUUACAAAAAGUCUACUAUGGAAAGGUUGAUCCCAGUAUGACAAAUAUUCUACCAUGGAAAGAUCGUGUAAGAAUUAAAUCCUUGUAAUAACUAGCUGAAAGUCGAUAGCUAAAUUCCAAAGCAUGAACCCAACAUUUAAUUAAGCAGAUAUGCGAUAGUACAAUGGCCAAUUUUGCAAAUGAAGCAUUGAUCGGCCACAUGAGAGUUAGCAUCUACUCAGUGGAAGUUCUUGGUAAGGAAUGGACAUCAACAAACAGAAAUGAUGGAGACUUCCAAUUCACAGCAGAAAAAUAACAAAAAAAUGGCAACAUUUCACAAGGAAACAAGAAUCUCAAUGGUCAAUUCCCAAAAAAAAGGGAAAAAAACAACAGAUUAAAUGUCUAACAAGUACUUCACUUAUGGUUCAUCUCAUGAACUAAGAACCAGUAUAGGGAUCUUCAUUCAUUGAUAAAUCUAUGAGUAUUAAAUAGGCAAGCUCAAAAGCAAUUUCGUUAAUCUUAGGCAGUGGCAAAAGUCUUACCUGAGAUGCUGAUGACGUCCAUGUCCUCAAAGUCAUUCUGCAGGUAGUCCAAGACAUUUUGCACACCUUUGGAGACCAUGUUCAUCCCCAUUGCAUCUCCUGUGCUGCAACUGAAUCUCAUAUAGAGGUUCCUCCCAGCGAGGGCACAGUGGAUUCCUUGUAACCUGCCAAAUCUGCUAGACCUGCAGAAAAUUUUACGUUUUAAGUAGAUGUGAUUUCCAUAUACUACAAAAACAUGCGUCAGUCAAAAACAACACUGUUAAGGAAGUCCAAUAACAACUCUGACCAUAGUAGGGAAAUGGUGAAUUUUUUCCCUUGAAACAUGACUAUCAAAAACAUUGAAUGCAGAAAAAUAACAAAAGCAUGGAACAUAAAAGAAUUGCAACAUAAAAAAAGCAAGCGGUUAACAAACACCAUGAUAUGAUUGUAACAGAACAAAAGCUCCGCAUUUUUUCCCCCACAAGGACUAAAAUCCACAACAAGCUCAUCGUCGGACUGGCAAAAAUAACAAUCAGCCGUAUUAAACAGAACCGAAAUGAACACUUGCAAGUAGGAAAAUGGUGAAUUUUUUUCCUUGAAACAUGACUUUCAAAAACAAUGAAUGCAGAAAGAUAACACAAGCAUGGAACAGAAAAGAGUUGCAACACCAAAAAUGCAAGAGGUUAACAAACACCAUGAUAUGAUUGUUACAGAACAAAAGCUCCUCUUCUUUUUUGUCCCCCCACAAGGACUAAAAUCUACAACAAGCGCAUCGCCAGACUGGCAAAAUAACAAUCAACCAUAUUAAACAGAACCAAAAUGAACACUUCCAAGGCCAAAGCUAACUUUUCCAUGGAUUAGGGAGCUGCAAAAGUAACCGCAAAGCAAUAUUUAACUUUAACCAAAUCAAUCUACGGCCAUUUGAUAUAAACGAGAUCCUAAUGCAGAACAAUAUUCUCGAUACCUUAAUCACCAUUUCCCCCUCUACAACUAAAACUAGAAAGCGACUAAGAACGAGUACCUGUUGAACACCAAGGCGAUGGUCUCGAAGUUGUUGGGAUCCUCCAAAAAGGCCUUGAGAUCAGCGGCCCUCCUUGCCGUCGGGAGUCUCACGGCAGGUGCCCUAGUCAUGCCGUCCCUCAGCACCACGCUCGUGGCCCCUCCGGAUUCUGCGAUUGCCUUGCAACCCCUGUUGGUGCUGGCCACCAGGCAUCCCUCUGUGGUCGCCAUCGGCACAUGGUAUUCCCUUCCGUCAAGUACCAAAGGCCCCGCGAUCCCCACCGGCAGUUGAACAUACCCCACCGGGAGCUCGCAGCACUGUCCCAAGAUCGACGCGUAGUCCAAACCAUCGAGCGGCAACCCCUCCAAAGUCCUUCCGGUGAUCCUCCUGAGGGCCUCCCGACGGAUCCCCGCGGCCCUCCUGCAAUCGCCGAGCCUGGACUCGAGGACAUAAGAUGGGAUCUUCCCGGAGACCACGGAGGAGACAAUAUCCUCGUCAUCGGCAGUGAUCUCCAGGUUCCUCUGAGAGGAGAUGGUUCCAUCCGUGGAGAGAAGUGGGCAAAUGGGGGCAGGAGAGGGGGCAGAAUCGGGGGCGGCGCCGGAGAGGAGGAAGUCGUCCUCCUCGUCGUGGGAGGAGACGAUGGACUGGACGAAGGCGAUGCCAAAGAAGCUGAGGAGGUAGAUGAGGGAGGCGAUGAGGCCGACGAUGGCGAGGAUCUCGGAGAGGCCGAGGAGGUGGAGCGGGGUGGAGCAUCGGACCUUCUCGCGCCAACGGCGCAUGAGGAAAACGAGAGAGCCGACGAAGAGGGCGGAGAAGAGGAGGUUGGUGUGCCGGAUCGGGAGGGGGAGGGCGUCCGACGCCUGGAGCCGGGGGACGGCGGGGGACGAGGAGGGGGGGAGACAGGCUCCUCCGUCGCGAAAGGGGGAGGGGGCGACGACAGAGGGGGGCCGCGAUGGUAGCCUCCGGCGGACUUCCAUUCUCUCCGGCGACGAUGAGUGGGGAGGAGGCGCGAGAGGAGAGGAGAGGAGAGAAGAGCACUGCACCUCGCUCGCACCUUGGAGGAGGAGAAACAAUAGCUGGAGCGGGCUGAUGCGAUCACCAAACGGCAAAGUUGUCUCUUACCAUUAUUACAAUUUUAAAUUAAAUUAGAAAAAAUUAAAAAUAAUUAUAAAAAAAGAAAAAAGUAUGUAGCACGAAAUUUGGCAAACACGUUGCCUUCACAGUUAAACAGAAGCUUGACGGUCAAAGGUCAUUUAUCUAUUUAUUUGAAGACUUCAAAUUUAUAUUAUGGAUAAUCAGAACUUGGAAUAAACAACGAUCCGAACAAGUCUCGAUUUAUUGUGUCGUUGGUUGAACCCAUAAAUCAAUUAGUCCAACCGUGGAUUUAAUAUAUUUUACAUGUAUUAUAUUAAAAAAAAAUUAUUAUAAGAAUAAUUUUAUUAAGCAUGACAAAGAGUAAUUUCUGAUAAUCCACAUUAUUAUUACACCAUAUAUGAUAUUAUUGAAAAAUAAAAAUACAUGACAGGCAAAUGGUUGGAACGAUAUAUUUCUGUCGACAUCCCAAAGAUUAUAAUUCAUGUGUGGUUUACCACACAUCCCAUUGUAACUGUUAUAUUGCAAGGUUUAUUAUUGUUUUUUCCUCUUUCAAUUUACAAAUUAUGAGAUUUUGAAGAACAACUAACUUUUGUGUGAAAAAUAAAUAAAUACAGAUUUUUAGGCCAUCUCAAAAAUCGCUGGUGCAAAAACAUUCUAUAUUAUUGAGAAUUGUAGUAAGCUAUCACAUCAAAAGUAUGAAGACAAUUGUCAGAAUGAAAACACCAAAUUUGACAACGUGAAAAAUGAUAUUUUGAUUGGCUAAAAGGAUUUCGGACAACAUUAUUGGAUUCAAACGCAUUUUCAGCAUUGAAUUGACUCGAAUUUCAUUGUUAUCUAAAUAGAUAAAUAUUACUUUCAAAGUCUUUUAUGUAAGACAAAGCUCUCUUUUAUCGAUCUUGCACGUAUUUUUUUGAUCCAUCCAUAUCAAUCAUCAGCAUGUUUUAGCUUUUUAAAAAGUCAUGCAUUCCAUUACAGUUAUUGGUGGACAAUUAAAUCAGAUCUUUAUAUAUAUAUAUAUAUAUGGUAAAGGACUGACUCACAUGCAUUGGGCCAAUCCAUCCAUUUUAUUAUGCCACAUAGAUAGCGAUAUUCUUACGAGUGACACUCAAUUCAAACUUGAACACAGGGCAUGCAUUAAAAGCGACACUCCAACCAUACAAGGUUGCCAAUUUGCCCUCUUCUUCUUCUUCUUCUUCUUUCUUAGAGUUAGGUUUUGUCCACUAGUGUCACCUUUGGUUGCUUGUUGAGACUCAGAUGAGAGAGAUUGACGGGUUUGCAAGGUAAAAACCAGGAAUUUUUUCUCAAACAUCAUUUUCUUGAGAUAGGUUUUCAGAUUGGUCAUUUUGUUGAUGUAAUUAAUCUCAAGAUACUAUUUUCUUAAAUUAUAGAAUACCUUUCCGACCUGAGUAGAUGAGAUAAUUAACUUAUUCUUAUCUCCACAGCUUAACACUAAUAAGGAGAUUGAUUGAAGAAGUUGUUAAAGAAUUAAACGAAGAAGAUAGAAAGAUAGAAAUCGUAGAAGAAACUAUGAAAUGUAUGAGAUGUAAUUGCAUAGUUCAUUUAGAUAGUAAGCUCUUGAUAGCUAUUUAUACACAUUCAUGGAGGAUUUUUCUCAACUGCUUAUAGAUUUCCUCAACUACCUUGAGGAAAUCUUAUCUGCUUAUCAUGCCCCUGCCUCCGCAAGAUUGAGCUUCCAUCAAGGAUGUCGAUCUUGGACCGAUAAGAUGAAAAUAAUUUGUGGGCGAGAGGCUUUGUUAGUAAGUCUGCUAGUUGAUCAGCUAUAUGUACAUGAGAAACACGGAGUUGAUGUCUGACAACUUGAUCUCGCACGAAGUGGAAGUCGAUGGUAAUGUGUUUCAUACGGGAAUGAAACACUGGAUUGACACAUAAGUAGGUAGCUCCAAUAUUAUCACAAUAUACUAUAGGAAUAACCAUAGAGUUGACAUUGAGUUCCUUAAGCAGAUUUGUGACCCAAUUGAGUUCAGCAGUGAUGGUGGCGAUGGCACGGUAUUUAGCUUCAGUUGUAGAUCGUGCAACCGUCUUUUGUUUUUUAGAACUCCAACUGAUUGGAGUAGCUCCAAGAAAGACAAUGUACCCUAAUGUAGAUGUUCUAUCAUCAAAGUUCCCUGCCCAAUCAGCAUCAGCAAAGGUAUGGAGAUGGAGUGAAGUAUUUUUGCGAAGAAAAAUGUCAUGAUUAAGAGUCCCUUUAAGAUACCGCAAAAUUCGUUUGACCGUAGACCGAUGCGUAAUAGAUGGUCGAUGCAUGAAUUGCGAUAAUUUAUUGACGGCAAAUGAGAUAUCUAGCCGGGUGAGAGCUAAGUACUAUAAGGAGCCAAGGACUUGUCGAUAUUGAGUCGAAUCUGUAGUAAGACUUCCAUCACAUAAUUUAAGUGAUUCACUGGUAGAGAGAGGAGUUGUAACUUCUUUCGCAUCCUGCAUAUUUGUCUUUAAUAAUAAAUCUUGAAUAUACUUUCUUUAUGAUAGGAAGAGACAUGAAGAUGUAAAUGUUGCUUCCACUCCCAAAAAGUAGCUUAAAGUUCUUAGAUCUUUGAGGGAGAAUCGAUCGACCAAGUGCUUUCAAAAUGCUUGAGUCUUCAAAGGAUCAUUUCCUAUGACAAUAAUAUCAUCCACAUAUACUAAAAGAUAUAUUAUGCUUCCAUUGUGUUGGCAAAUGAAUAAUGAGGUAUCAAACUUGGAAUAGAUGAAGCUAAUUGAAGUAAAAAACGAGCCAAGCUCAGUAUACCAAGCCCUUGGAGCUUGACGAAGUCCAUAAAUAGCUUUUUGAAGUUUGCAGACAUGCCUCGGAUACUAAGGAUGAACAAAACCAGGAGAUUGCUGCAUAAAGACAUCUUCAGUAAGUGACCCCUGUAAAAAAGAAUUGUUAACAUCCAAUUAUCGUAUGUGCCAGCCCUUUGAGAUGGCCAAACUCAGGAUAAGACGAAUUGUUGUGAGUUUAACAAUGGGACUAAAUGUCUCUGUGAAGUCGACACCAGGUCGUUGAUGAAACCCUUUGACGACUAGACAUGCUUUAUAUAUGGCAACGAAUCCGUCUGGGUUCCGCUUAAUUUGAAAGACCCAUUUACACCCGAUAAUAUUUUAUGUGUGAUGAAAGGGUACUAAAGUCCAUGUAGAAUUAUGGAGGAGAGCAUCAUAUUAGUCACAUAUGGCUUUACGUUAGUGAGAAGAUUUUUGAGCUUGAGUGAUUAUAGUAGGUUCACUGGCCUUAGUAGAGGAACUUGUUAUAGCAUGCAAGUCAAGGACUUGACGUGGUUUGAAAAUACCGCUUUUGGAGCGUGUUGUCAUUGGAUGUCUAGAUGGAAGUGGUAGAUUGUGUUGGUGGUAUAGCCGAGGGUGAGUCACUAUCAUGGACCGGGCCAACCGUCAGCACGACAAUGUCACUAGAUCUAGGAGAAGGUAAAGCUAGUGGCAAUGUUGCCGAGGGUAUUACUUCAUUAAUAGGGAAAACUUGUGAGGAAGGGAGUGGAGAAAUAAAGGGAGUGAGAAGCUGUUGAACUAGAGUAAUAGUAGUAUGUGGAUCUUGAGGGUAAGGACUGUAUGGUGUCAUUGGAGGUUCGUGUAAUAAGAUCGGAGGGAUAUUCUAGUGAUGUAUGUUUAUCGGAGUAGCCUGCAUAGUAUGAUUGUUUUGAAAAGGAAAGAUAGACUCCUUAAAAAUAACAUGACGUGAUAUAAAGACUUUUUUAGUUUGAGGUUCAUAGCAAUGAAAAGCAUUAUGUUCAAGAGAGUAUCCUAUAAAAGUACAAGGCUUAGGUCGUGGUAUUAACUUAUGUGAGGCAUAGAGACAGAGCCAUGGAUAACACAAACAGUAAAAAACUUUGAGUUUAUGAAGAUUUGGAAACUUGUGGAAUAAUUUUUCAAAUGGUAACUGGUAUUGUAAAACUGGAGUGAGUAUACGAUUAAUGAGAUAAACUGCAGUUUGAAAAUCUACUGACAAAAAAGAUGGUGGCAUGGAUGCUUGAUGUAGAAGGGAGAGACCAAUUUCAACGAUAUGCUAAUGUUUGCGUUCGGCAGAGCAAACCAAUUGGGGAGUAUGUGGGGGUGACUUGAGGUGUUGUAUACUACAAGCGGAGAGAUAGGAUGUGAGGGCUUGAUAUUCGCCUCCGUCAUGAGAGUAAACUGUUUUAAUGGAAGAUUGAAAAAAAUUCUCGAUCAACUUCCGAAAGUUGGUAAAUACUAUGGAAACAUUAGACUUAUGGUGGAGAGGAUAUAACCAUGUAUACUUAGUACAAUAGUCUAAAAAAUGACAUAAAAAUGAAACUUGUCAAAAGAAGGAAUUGGGGCAGGGCCCCACACGUCGGUAUAAAUGAUUUCAAAUGGUUUAGAGCAAGAAAUGGAGGUUGUCCUAAAAGACAGUUUAUGACUUUUAUUGCAAAGACAAGCAUCGCAAUGAUUGACAAUGCUAUUGAUUUUUAAGGUAGGAAGAGAAUAACGAAAAAGUAAUUUUUGCUGGAUAAAAAGGGAGGGAUGACCAAGACAACAAUACCAUAUAUCAACCGGAGCUGCGACUGAAGAGUGAGCAGUAGGUAGGGUAAUUUGUGAAGUGGAUGGCCACUCAUAAAUGUUGUCUUUGAUCUGGCCCUGGACUAAAGAUGCCCCCGUGCUCAAAUCCUUGAUAAGAAAAAAAUUAGGAAAGAAUUCAAUGGAGGUAUUAUUUUGUUUACAGAAUUGAAAAACGAAAAUGAGGUUUCUUUUAAUGUGAGGUGCACACAAAGCAUCAUCAUCGAGUGUAAAAGUUGUGAUAAGUGAACUAAGCGUUGAGGAACCAGAAUGAGUAAUAGGAAUUCUUUUACCGUCACCGAUGAUGAUAUCUUCAUUUCCAUCAUAGUUAUUGAGAAUGGACAAGUUUUGAAGAUCAGAGGUGAUGUUAUGAGAGGCGCCCGAGUCCACAAUCCAUUUAGGUUGGGUAGGAGUUGGAGUAGCCAUGAAAUUCGCCUAAGGCCACUAUGAUGGAGCAGGGAGUCUGGGGCGAGACCGAUAAACUUUCGCGGAGUGUCCGACUUUAUCACAUAGUUGGCAAACGACUCGUUGGUGGCUUGUGAAGUCAGGAUGCGACGGCUGAGGAUUAUAAAAGUUACCACCUUGAUAUGGAUAAGGGGGGUUUGGUCUGAGCCCCAUAGGGCUAGGAGGCAGCUUAGCCAGUUCAUUGUUGACGUGCUUAUUGUAUUGGUUGCUCUUCCUCUUGGAUUUUUGAUUGACCUGAGCUGUAAUAGGUGGUCCGGGCAACUAUCAUCACGCUUCAAGUACGUCUCNNNNNNNNNNNNNNNNNNNNUAGGAGGCAGCUUAGCCAGUUCAUUGUUGACGUGCUUAUUGUAUUGGUUGCUCUUCCUCUUGGAUUUUUGAUUGACCUGAGCUGUAAUAGGUGGUCCGGGCAACUAUCAUCACGCUUCAAGUACGUCUCAUAGUCGAUCAACUUAUCAUAAAGUUCUUCGAAUGAUAUUGGUAAGUCGCGUGCCCGAAGUGCUGUUAUCAGUUCUUUAUACUCACCUCCUAGGCCAUUGAGGGUAUGGAUUAAGACUUCUUCAUCACUAAGAGAAUGACCUAUCAAAGUUAAGUCAGCGAUGAUAAUUUUGAUAUGUUGUAGAUAAUCAGCAAUAGUACUUCCCUCUUGUUUCGUUUUCAUCAAAUUGGAGAAAAGUCCAAGCAUGCGAGUACACGAGCGAUUUGCCAAAGUUGUUUGUAACUUACACCAUGCUUCUACAGUAGUCGUACAUAAGGAUAUCAACGGGGCAAUGGAUCCAGCAACGGAAGCUUUGAAUAGCUUGGAGGAUGAUGCGAUCUUGACGUAACCAUAGUUUGUGGGCUGGAUUUGGUACUGGACUGGGUUCGCCUGGGAUGUUGAUUAUUUUAGGUGGACACUGGAGAGAGCCAUCAAUGUAACCUAGGAGAUCAUAGCCAAAUAGAAGAUUAGAAAGUUGUGCCCUCCAAGAUGCAUAGUUGCUGCCUUUGGAUAAUUUGAAGGGAAUAAGUGCUACAACAUUGAUGGUGAUAAGACUUUGAGAAGUGCUCAGAGUCCCUACAGAAAUAGGGACAAGAAUAUCGGAAGAGGAAAAUGAAGACAUCCCAGAUAUCUUGUUGUGGUUUAAGUGAUCUUUACAGAAGAUGUAAAGAUAUAGGAGGGAGGGAGGAGGAGAAAAGCAGACCGAUGCGCUACAAAGGAGGCUGCAGCGAUGAACUGCAAAGGAGGUUGUAGCGAUGAACUGCAAAGGAGGUUGUAGUGAUGCACUGUAGAGGAGGCUGCAACGAUGGGCGAGGAAGCUGCAGAGGAGGCUGCAACGAUGCAACGAUGAGACAAUAGCGAUAUAAACUACUGAAGCUUGCUGUGGCAGUAAAGAUUGUUGUGGCAGAGAAAUUGCUAUGGCAGAGGGAAGCGACUGCAGAUGGAAGCUAUAAAAAUUACAAUCGUUCCUGUUGCCGCAAGAAGGCAAUGAUAGCUAUGGUAGGAGGUGAUUGCUUUGUUACUUUGGAUUACAAUGAUUGCUUUGUUGCCGAGGUGCACCGAGGUAGAGGAAAUGUCAAGCGACUGCCAGGUCAGGUAGGAGAACACUGCGAAAUAGGGUAAGUAGUGUCGGCGUCGAGCACCUCGACGAGGUUGAGCGGCAAGGAUGGCAGCAACAGCACUUCUCGCUCGAGUGAGAUGUGGGAACGAGGAGGAGAGGUCACUGGCCGAUGAGUAGUUGCGAGGACGACGACCACCACGAUAGUGUAGGCGAGGUUCUUGUGAGGGCAGGAGGUGGUCGAGCAGUCUUUGACUUUGGAACAGGAAGUAACGACGCCGGAGGAGAGGUAAGCAGCAACAUUGCCAUUUCCAAUUGAAUAGAAAAGAUGAGUAGUAGAAGGCUUCGACAGAGCUGCCUACAUCCGCAAGGAAGAACGCUCUGAUACCAUGUUAAGAAUUAAACGAAGAAGAUAGAAAUAUAGAAAUUGUAGAAGAAACUAUGAAAUGCAUGAGGAAAUCUUAUCUGCUUAUCAUAAGUCAUAGUUAACGUUAAACAAGUAUAUUAUUUAUAAAUUUUCAAACUCGCGUUAGAUCACAUUAAAAUCCUCUUAUGAUAUAAUCUCUAGCAUCUAUCUAAUACAUGAUUAAAUUCGAACAUCACUAUCUCUCCCAUUUAAUAUUUAACAUCCUCGAGGUCCAAUCAGUUAUGAUAUGUCUUUUAACCAUACAAAUGCUCAAUGUUAGAUCACAUUAUUUGUCACCACCUAAUCAAAUGCGAUAGGUGAGGUUUCGUAGUUAACCUCUUUGCAUUCAGUGUGGAGCUAAACAUCAAGUGUAACACUCAGGUAAUGGCAUCAUAUUAGCUGAAAUGAGUGUUAGGAAAUAAUUAAUCUAAAAAAAUAUCAUUUUCUUGAAGAGGAGAAGAAUGUUUCACAACUGUGGAAGAGAAGAGAUCAUUCUCCGGCUAAUGAGCAUCCACGCUAAAAUCAAGCUCCAUGAGUUCCCAGCCGACUUUUGAUUCUACUAUUAUCAAUAGCGGAACCUCAUUCUGACGUAUAUUGAAUUAAAAGGCGUACAACACAUUACAAUCAAUCACUGCAUAAUGUAAUUUUGAGACGAGGAUUAUUAACAAAAGAUUUGGCUUCGGUUUCAACAUCUUUUACGAUUAAUUAUUAAGGUUCCACAGUUCAAGGGAUAAUUCAUAGAGUACUCUGUGAAUUAAGUAGCUGAAUACAGGGAGGAGGCACAACCAACUUUUUUAAUUAAUAUACAAUUUAAGGUUGAGAAUGGGUGAAGCAAUUGAUGAAAAGAAGGAAGCUUAUAACAAUAGUGGAUGGCUGGCUUCAUCACCAAGAAAGUGGAAUUGCUAAACACGGUUGGAGAUAAGAGAGUAGUUAGCAGAAUGGAGUGAUCCCAAAUCACACCACAAGGAUACAAAAGUUAGGGUUUUAAGGAUCCAAUAUCUGUAUAUAAUUUCUGCUGACCUAUCCCAAUUUCUUUUUCUAAUAAUAAUAAUAAUAAUAAUAAUAAUAUUAUUAUUAUUAUUAUUAUUAUUAGGAGCAGUAGUAAUGAUUUGGCACAAGUGUUCUUCGUGGAAGGCCAGCGGUUGCUGCCAGAGUCGGACUCCCAUCCCACACCUCCUCUCUGUUUCUUCCAUCUUUCCUCGGGAUUCCUUCAAAUCUUAAGCGAAGAUCGCUUUUUUUGAUCUGGUCUCUGCUUGGAACCCAUAAAGCUAGGGUUUUUACGAGCGCCAGCUAGGGUUUCCACGGUUGAUCACCCCACCCACCCCUCUGCCCGAUUCUUCCUUCCAAUUCUCCUCUUCUUGGCUGCGAUUUCGGUUCCUUCUGGGGGUUUGCUCGAUGGCUUUUCACCAUCCGGGGCCUGGGUCGGCCUCCGGAUCGGCCUCGAGCUCCAGCUCCGGGUUCCACUUCCUAAAUUCCCCUUUCGGGGACACGACGUUGACGAAGGUCUUCGUCGGGGGCCUCGCGUGGGAGACCAAGAGCGAGACGCUGCGCCGCCACUUCGAGCAGUUCGGAGAGAUCCUCGAGGCCGUGGUGAUCACGGACAAGAACACCGGGCGGUCCAAAGGUUAUGGAUUCGUGAGUAUUUCAUGGUUCUUUAAUCGUGUGAAGUGAUGAAGAUUGCUCCUUUAAAGAAUCGAGAUCGAGGAAGGAUUUUGAUCUUUUCAGUUGUUACUUCCGUGUUUGUUGGGGUGACUGCUGAAUCGUUGGUUAUGGUGUUGACUUGGUCGUUGGCAUUAGGUUACUUUUCGACAAUCGGAAUCUGCAAAGAGGGCAUGUGUUGACCCGAGCCCUGUUAUCGAUGGCCGGCGGGCGAACUGCAACUUGGCUUCACUUGGGCGGCCUCGCCCUGCUCUACAGUUUGGUGGUAUUGCCCUAUAGUUUCUGAUUAUGGUAGAAUCAUCAAAAAUUGCAUCUGAAUAUUUGGUGGUGCCUCAAAUCUGUCGAAUUGCUCCUUGUCGUCCAUCCAAUUCUUUGUUUGUCAUCCGUACUGCUGCACUCUAGAACCUUUUCUUUUUCAAUUGUCACAAUCAGGCUUAUCUAUCAUCUUCAGGAGAGGUCUUCGACCUAUCCAAUGUGUCAGCCUUAUACUUUAUUUAAUGCUCCUGAAGUUGCAAAGUUCAUUGUUGGUUUCCAAGAGUAAGUCGUAGGAUCUCUUGGCCACUGUUAUUAUAAAAGAAUUCACUUCAAACUGGAAUGCUUUUAUAGUGAGAUCAGUGCAAUAAUGAAUAGUACAUUUGAAACAUACAACACAAGUUGCAUAUGAAAGAAUGACAAACCUAUGAACAAAUCUGAAGUUCGUCAUUGCAUGUAAUCUUUAUGGUACACUGAUAUUGGAGAUUCGGAGUUAUCCUUAGCUUAUUAAUUAUGGGCUAUGAAUUUGAAGAUAAUUUUUCUUAAUAUGUUCUACUUUUACAAAGAACCUAGUUUCGUUGUUUCAUGGGUUCCUAUUGGCAUUGUAAAACUAAUCCAAUGCAAACAAAAACAGUUGAAAGUUACUGUGUUAGUCUUAAAGGCAUAUCAUGGCUGGAAUAUGUGCCAUAUAUAUAUAUAUAUAUUCUUUUGAGCAUCAGCAUGUAUGGAAAAGGCAUUAGAAAGAGAAUAAGGAAAAAUAAAAGAGGAUGAAGUAGAAGAGAGAAACAAAGAGGGAAGGAGAAGACAACUACUGUUGGGUUGCUGCUGUUGUUAUGAUGUCGCUGUUAGUGAGUCACUUCUCUUGCUAUAUCAUCUCUGCUGUUGUAUCACAAGCUCAUAAAGAUCAACCAUAGAUCCAUGACUGCUUGUAGGAAGUUGUAGUUCUUUAUUAUCUUUUAUCAUGAGUUAGUAGCUUGAUUAAUUUGGAUGAGUUAAUUUCUUAAAAAUUGCUAGGAAAAAAAACAACAUAUAGAAUUGUAAAAUCCGGAGAUAAAAGUACUAGAAGGUAGUAGACACAUCACACAUGAAGAAAACAUCUAUAUUAUGAUUGUAAUAGAAAAAUGUUUGUCGGCUAAUAUUUAUAAUAUUUAUAUUAUCUCAGGAGGAAGUAUUCAUAAUAUACAUAUAUUUUAAUUGAUGUUUCUGUGUGGUACUUUGUCCUAACAUUUUAAGAUUGUUGUAUCCCUGUUGUGUUGUAACUUGUAACCAUAACCCAUAUCUUUAUCCAGUUUCUAAGAGGGCUUCAGACAUGAUGUGGUCAAGCAUGUUAUUUUGCAAGUGCCUUAAACUAUAUCUACCACCUGGUUUUGCAGCUUGUAAAAUCAUCAACAAACUUUAUUGUAUCUUUACUUUGUGCCUUAGUCUUAAUGGAGUUGCGAAAGGCCUGGACUUUACAUAAGCAUCAGGUUCUUUUUAAUUGUUCGUGUAUUGGUUACUUGGACUCGAUAGAGACAUAAAAAUGCAAAUAAAUUUUUAGGUCGAGUUUAUGUUUUGGAAAAUGCUAAACCAUAUCACAGAGAUAGGAAAACAAUUAAAUCAACAUCAAAUGGUUUAAUGCAACACUGGGUAGAAAGUUAUAUAUAUUUGAUGAUGGACAAACAAGAAUGUUGAAGUUGUGGGAACUCCUAAUUAUUUUAGAUAUCCUUUCUUUCCUUCUGAAUUAGGAGGAAGAUAGGUCUUCUGCAAUGGUGCAUUUUGUAAUCUAUAGGACUAUUAUAUUUUUCUCUUUGCUUUCAGAUUUGCCAAUUUGGCAUCUUUCUUCUUUGCAGAAGUUAGAUUAAGUGGAUGAAUUCAAAAUUUCAGUACUUAUUACUAAUGAUGUAAUACGAGCAAACCAGGGAUUAUCAUGUUGAUCAGCAUAUGUCGGCACAAGUACUCAUGUCACUGACCACCAAGCUUUGGAGCAAACCACGGGUGGUUUCUUUUAGCUUUGCUUUCGCCGCCUGCAUUUCUCUGAGCAUGCUUGAAAUACUAGUUGUCCAUAUGGGAAUCAUUUAAAUGCUUUUGACUACUUCAUUAUGGUUGUUUCACUUUUUCAUCUACGGCCUUUCCCAAUCUAUAUAGACCUGCUUCUUUUGGUCUAUAACAAUUGAUUUGCCCUCACAAGGAAGUCCUUAUGUUUCCUUCCACAUAAAAUACUUACCAAAUAGAUACCUGUCUGUGAAACAUUCAGAACAUUUUUUUGACUUAUAGAAUGAAUUAAUUUAUUUUUCUAGUCCACCAAAUCCUCCCUACAAAAAAAAAGAUAAUAUAAAAGACAAAAAUAUUGAACUUUAAGAAUCUGAAGGAAAAUGUAUUAUAUCCAUUCUUGAUGUUUUUCCUUUUCUAUUGUUGCCAUGCUGCUACGACAUGCUAGCCACUUGUAACAUGGACGUCGGUUUGUUUGUCGGACUUUCUUUUUUAGUGCGCCCAAGGUCAGCAGGCCCCAACAUUGGAGGUGUGUUGGUUCCACGAGGGCCAUAUGUCGGAAGUCCUGCUCAUCAAUCAUCAGUUCCUUUUGGCUACCAACAAGGGUUUCCUUAUCCACCAUAUAGGUUGGUUGAUCUUCUGAAUCUUUUCAGAACAGUAGUUGGUUGUUGUUAAAAGAAAGUAAUUAAUAUUUCCUUUGAUAUCUGUCCUGAUAUCUUAUUAUGAAGUUGAUUAGUUUAAAGAACUAAUUACUAGGAUGAAUAAGUGAAAGAAUCACAACUAAAAUUGUGGAGAAGAAAAAUUUACUGUUAAUAAUCUCUCUGUUUUUACUUCUGAACCAGCAGUGCUAUGAUCUUGAACGUGUAAGCUUUUAGAAGAGAUUUCGAAUGGGAACUCUCUUGUGGUCCCAUCUUUCUAACUUAAAAGCAUGCCCUACUAGGAACAAAGAAUAUCAAGGUAUGUUUUAGGUGAUAUAUAGUUGUAAGAUAAGGUAGAUUGAAUUGUAAAGUAUUUGGCUAAACCAACUUAAUUGUUACCUGACCUUAUAAUACCAUAACUAUGUACAUGUUCACUUCUAUUUGAUAGGCAUGGAAGCAGGCACUGAUAUUAAUCAAGUGUGCCACCUAUAUUUUUUCCGUUAAACCUGGAGAAAUCUGAACUUUCUGAUAUAAAGGAUUUUUGUUUUACAAUUAUCUUGAGUCAGAUAAUAGCUAUGUUGUGUAAAAUUAAUGAGGUUUACUUGCUUUUAGUUAUUCUUUGACAUAUAAUAUAUGAUUCUAAUAAUUAAAUAAAUGUAAGAGAUGGACCUUUUUUUAAUUUGUAAUCCAUGUUCGGAAAUAUGUGUCUUGAUUAGAAUUCAAUAAGCGGAUGCGCCCUUCAUUUUGUGGCUUGUAACUGAGGAACAGCCUUUCUGAAUCCGGGGUUAAAGAUGCAUUUAGUUGACCCUUUUCAGAUUUGUUAGUGGCAAGAGCUUAUGUAGGCUGUGAUUUUUAACUAAAAUAACAUCAAUAUAUAUAUAUAUAUAUAUAUAUAUAUAUAUAUAUAUUCAAGGAAAUUCAAACAUUAAAUUCUCUCUAUCUGUAUUAGUGAAAACAGUACAAUACUCAUGCACUGAUAUAUAUUUUGGCAAUUCCAUUGAAGGCAACUGAUGAAGUUAAAGAAUAAUUAUCUUUCAGUUGUUAGUAUUAUGGUUUGAUAUUAGCCAAUUGCAAAUAAGGAUGAUGGGAUAUUAGUUUAUUAUCCACUUGCAGAGAGUUUAGGGGGAAAUUAAGAUGGGGAAACAUAAGCUCCAAGUUGACAUGGCUAUGGUGACACUGCUUGCACACCCUAGGAAUAGGGAGAAGGUAGUAAGACUCUGUAGUCUCUGGUUGUCAUGAUGUUAGGAAUUUGUGCUUAUCACAUCUAUGCUUAAGGUCCUUNNNNNNNNNNNNNNNNNNNNNNNNNNNNNNNNNNNNNNNNNNNNNNNNNNNNNNNNNNNNNNNNNNNNNNNNNNNNNNNNNNNNNNNNNNNNNNNNNNNNCUUAAGGUCCUUCAAAUAUUUAUUGUGGUUUAUGAUUAUUGUGAAUGUGUUAGUGGAGUAUCAAUCAAGUGCCUUUAUUGAUUACUAUAAAAAUUCCUUUUGCAGUUACAAUCCAUAUGGGCCGGAGUACAUCUUUCCACAGGUUCAGUACCCAGAAUUAUGUCAAUCCUUUUUUCUGAAUCUGGAAGUUGAUUUUAGACUGUUGCUAUUAGCAGUGGCAGUUGUGAUUAUAUUUCUUUCUUUUGCAGAAUGUAUACAAUCCUCUUUCUUUCUUUUGUAGAAUAUAUACAACCCUUACAUGGGGCACCAUUACUUUCAAGUUUAUGGGUUUCCAGGAGCUGUAAAUACAGCUGUUUACCCAUUUGGUCAAUUUGGUCAACCUAUGUCUGGUGGGCCUGGUUAUAUGGCAGUUCAGGGCUACACAAUGCCAUCUAAUCAGAUUGUGCAAUUGAGUGGACCAAAUGUCAAUGGAAUGGCAAGUGCUCCUCGACCUGUGAUUCAAGCACCCUAUCCAGCUGGUACAUUUUCUCCUAGAAAUUUCAUUUUCUUUGUUAUUUCGUAUGUUCAGGUCUUAAGUUACAUGUUAUAUUAUAUCUAGGUAUCUGUAUCUCUUUGAGGUGAGCAUAGAUUGUGGUUGGGACAUACAGGACUCUACUGUUGAUGAGGUUCAAGAGAAAGGAUUGAGUGAAUGUUACCUAGUGUUACAAAUUCGUGGUUGGCACAAGAAUAAAUUAAUGGUUGACCUUACUAAGCUCAACUUGUAGUAUAUUGGUGCAUUUUUAAUUUUGUUUCCUUGAUGCAAGAUAUGACUUAGCGGAGAACAUCAGAUACUAGUAUUCUAUUUGCUGUAGUUGGUUUGAAUUUGAACUUGUUAAAAAUAUUCUGUAUUUCUUUCUUUAGUUUGGUCAUUUUAAUUGUGAUCCUUGGUCUUUACAUUUGACUGUGGUUCUCAACAAAUAUAUCAUUUCAAGCUCAAAGGAGUCAGAAAAUAACCGUAAUGUUCUUGUUUUUUGAACCUUUGUACAAGUGGUUUGCUGCAAUUUACUAUGUUAUUGGCAUAGCCUGUAGAAAAUAAUUUUAGUAUUCAACAUUACAGGAUUAGCAACCCCUGUUCCUGCCCAGCCACACUUCAUAGUACCUGCUCAUUCACCACAGUUUGUGCAGGGCAGCGGCUCAGAUCAAACAACAGUUUGAGGUGAUCAUCAUUAUGUCAUCUUGAGGUACAUUAAAUGUCCUACUUUACUCUGUGUUUUGUUGAUAGUUCUUUUGUAGUGAUUGAGAUGGGUAUUGCCAUUUCAAACAGGUACCCUUAGAUUGCAGCAGGACUAAGAAAAGCAGUACUGCUACAUUAGUGGCACGCAUUCUUGCCUUGCAAGCUAUCAUCUUUGCAUUCUAGAGGUUAGUUCUUUUUGAUAUUCCACUUAUAUGUAAAUGAUUUGAGGAAUUUCAUAUUACGAGGUUCUACCCAUGGAGAAUUUGAUGAUAAGGGUAUGCCCAUAUUGCUUAUGUUGAUUGAGUAGUUCUGUUCCUAAUUCACUGUCAUGUAACCUCAAGAAUUUUGUUAUAUACCACCUCUAUGCCAAUCAGCCUUAUUCUAUCAUAAUGUGCUAUUCUAGGGAACAUGCUAAUGUGAUGCUGUAAUGGAACUAGCACACCAGCACACAUUGACUUGCAUGCAUGUGACUGGUUUUAGCUGGUUUUCUCUCUCUAACUUAAUCUGAACGCAUUGUGGUGUAAUUCUAACAUUCAAUGCUGGUUUAGGCCACAAGGUUAUUUUUUAUACAUGUUUCUCUAACUUAAUUCGUGGUGGAUUGUAGCUACAAAAUAGUUGAAAUGUAAUUUUUUUUAAAUUUGGCAUAAUUAACCUUAUCUAAGCAUAAAUCGUUUGAAAUAUACAGAAAACGACUUAACCAUGAAUUCAUGAAAGGUUCAAAAUCUUGGUUCCGUGCUAAUAUUGGUAGGCGACCUAACCUCUACAAUGACAGUUCUUCACUCAGUACUGGUCAGAAUGCUUGGACUAGAGUGAGAGGGGGAAGAGGAGGAGAGACAGCAAUGACUAUUGAAGGAGGUGGAUGCCAAGGUGGAGUGGUGGUUGUGGCUGAACAAAGGGAAAGAGAGAGAAGAGGGAAAGUUUCAACAGCAUUGCUGAAAACUACUUUUUAAUUUUUUUACCUAUUAUUUUAAUAAUUUAGCAUCUCAAGUACCUGAUGUUGAUGGAUGUCAACAGCUGUCGAUAGCAGAUUACACCUGUCUAGACAAAAUAAAAUACACUGUUUCAAAUUGUAUUGGUGGUAUCUCUCAGUUCACGUAUUGGUCAUCUAGUGGACUGGUAAAUACCAAACCCUAUCGGUCAAUAGUAUGCCCAGUAUUUGGAACCUUGAAAUCAUGCAUAGUUUAGAAGAGAGAGAUGGAUUAAGAGAUAAAAUACAUUUAUUUGAUGAUAUGGAAAUGUCAAAACUUCAUCAAGAUUAAUGGUAGGCUCGGAUGGCUUGACAUCUGCCGACACCAUUUUAGUGUUACCUACAUUUGAGAUUUUUUUACUGCUUGUCAAGUCAAAUUCUUGGUAAUGUUUAAAUUUGACUCACAUCUUAGUAGUAACCUUUUAAGUGUCGUGUUCUCCAUAUGUUGCACCAGUUCAUGAUGCACAUGGACAAUCUACGCUAGCCCAUAAUGGGCCUAUUUAUGAAAAUAUAACUUUUUUUAGUUCUAUAAUUUUUUUCGUCUUCUUUAUAUUAAUGUCAUUUUCUAUUGCUAUUCUAUUAUAAACUUGAGUACGAAGAUAAUUCUUAGAAACUAAAGGUUUUAGAUUAAGUAUGAUUAAAACUGAAUAUAUGAAAUAAAAUUUUAGUAAUAUUAGGAAUAUGCAAGAGAAUAUAGUUAAGUUGGAUGAGUAAAAAGUUCCUUUAAGUAUAAGUUUUAUAUAUCUUGGAUCAAUUAUUUAACGAGAUGGAGGGAUUGAUAAAGAUAUUAUUUAUAGAGUAAAAACAAGAUGAUUAAAAUGGUGAGGGAUAUUAGUAGUCUUAUAUAAUUAUCGGAUACCUUAGAGAUUAAAAAAAAUAUUAUAAGACAGUUGUGAGAUCAACAAUGCUUUAUUGUUUCGAGUGUUGGAAGUUAAGAAAUAACAUAUACAAAAAGCUUUUGUUGCCGAGAUAAAAAUGCAAAAAUGAAUGUGUGGAGUUGCUAGGAAAGAUAGAAUAAAAAUUAUUUUUAUUUGUAAACAACUAGGUAUCAUUUUGAUAGAGGAUAAGAUGAGAGAGAAUCGUUUAAGAUGGUAUGAGCAUAUGCUUAUGAGACCUACGAAUAUGGUCGUUAGAAAAGAUAAAAUGAUUUUAAUAGAAACUAAAAAGAGGAUGAUCCAAAAAUUUUUAAUAGAAACUAUAAAUAAAGAUUUAAAUCUUCUAAACUUAAUUAAACAUAUGGUUUUUUAUAGAUCUCAAUGGCAAUAAAAGAUCCAUGUAGUUGACCUAAAUUGUAACACCUCGAUUAGUCUCACAUCGGAAGUGGGCAAGACUAAAGAUUGACUUAUAAGGGUCUGAUGAGUAUAUUAUUAUUAACUUCAGCUUAAGUAUUUUGACCAGUGGUUUGGGCCAACCAAAGUUGAUAAACCAGCUAACUCAUUAGGCCUGGGUCGUGAUAAUUGGUAUUAGAGCCGACCUUAUUUAGACAUGGUGAGGAGGCUCGAGUAGGAAAGGGAUACCCAUAUAUAGAUUUAUAGGACUUGUCACGACGUGAAGCCACCACCAAGCUAUGCCUCAAAUGGACCAUGCUAUAACACCUUGAUUAGUCCCACAUCGGAAGUGGGCAAGACUAAAUAUUGGCUUAUAAUGGUUUGAUGAGUGUACUACUAUCAACUUCAACUUAAAUAUUUUGGCUAAUUGUUUGUGCCAAACGAAGUUGGUAAGCCAACUAGCUUAUUAGGCCCGGGUUGUGACAAUACGUUAAAGAUUAUUAACAACCACUAGAAAAGUUAUGCAGAAGGAAGAAUGAAGAAGUUAGCCAAAGGACAUUUGAGAUCUUACAGAAGGUUGGACUUGUGGCAAACAGAUUGGCAUUGUCUUCAACUUUUGUUGGCAAUUAAGAGAUACUACCAUUUUUGUAGAGUAGCCAAUCUAGAUCUUGAAAAGAAAAGAGUAUGUUCUGAGGAAUAGAGUUAUAUAUUUGGUAAAGAUUUGUUGGUAGCACCAUUCAAACCAAAUUAAGAAUAUCAUUAGUUCUUCGAUGACAUCUAUGCUUUAAAGUGUAAGGACUUUGUGUCGAUCUUACCAUGCUUCAAUCAUUCAAUUGCUUACUGUUACAUGUAUUUCAAACCAUUCUUACUAAUAUUUCUUGAUUUUUAAUCCUAUGUACUCAAUUUAUGAUUUAACUAAUAUUUUGUUCAUCUUUGAGUUGGCAUUUAUACUGUGCAGCAUUUUUUCUGCUUGAGUUACCUUUCAAAAUAUUUAGAUGCAUUCAAAAGGAUGAUUAAUUAUUUCAUCUGGAGAUUCCCUGCAGAUGUUGCAUAAUUGAUUAUUUGUGACGAGUCAAAGGCCUAUCAAUGAGGAGGUUAUUGUAAAUUUUGCAGAAUGUUCAGAAUUAUUUUCAAGUUGUUGAUCAUGUCAUUGUAGCAAAAACAAGUCCUAUUUCAUAAUCUCUUCAGGCUUGCUUACAUGUCAUUGUUGGAGUUCACGCAUCUAAAAUUCACAUCUUAAGAUACCGAGAGAACCUGCCUGAUCUAUUUCAUAGUUUACACAAAGGAGCAUGUGGAUUCUCUGUUCUAUCUUUUGCUUUAGUUUUAACAUCAGCACUUGUUCCAGUGUUCUCACAUUUAGAUCAUAUUUGCUCCAAAAAGGAAUGGAUAUAUAUAUUUGUAUAUAUAUAUAUGUAUAUAUAUGUAUAUGUUUAUGUAUAUGUCAUCGUCUUUGAUGGUAGGAAGGCUGGAAUAACAAAUGAUCUUGUUCUGCAGGUCAUCCUUGUCAUGGUCAGUCGCAGAAGAAGUCAUCAAGUUGCUCCGACGGAGGGAGCUGGAAGCACAAGAGCGUGGACUGCUCUUUGUUGCACUGUUUGUAAAUUAUCUUGCCCUGCUGGAAGUUGUGAUGGCAAGUAGAGGAAGAACAGGUGGAUGCCUGGACCAAGCAUCCAACAUUAGGUGAUGGAUCUCGGGGUUGGAGUCAGAGUUGGAGUCUGAUGAUCCAAGAGGGAAGCCUUGGUGUGUCGAGGGAUCCAAGUGAUUCAAAGACGAAUCUAGGUGGUAGAAAUCGCUGUUCCCAUGUCAUGUGAGAGAUUCAUCUUCUUUGGUGUAAUGAAUAGUGCACUUGUAGAUUCAUAACACCAGUUCCUUAUGGAGUCUUUCAUUAGGUAGAUCUAAUGCCAUUAAACGAGAUGGCCACGUCAACAAACAGUCUCGGAGGUGGCAUGGAGACCAUCCCUUUAUUUUCGUGUUAACAUUCAUGAUUGUAUCAGAGUGGAUUCUGUAGUGCUUCACUGAGUUCUUGUGCGGUUGGAAGGCUUUAACAGGAACUUUCUGCAACCUGGGACUCAAAACACAACUGGUAUCAGAUUUCCACGAACCGAAUCAGGAAGGUGAGUUCAUGGCUUACUGCAAAUACGUAGUGUUGUGAUGGGUUUUUGUGGGGUUGGGUGUACAUCUUGGUGAAGUUUUUAAUCACUAACUCAAGCGUGUGUGUGUAUAUAUCUAUAUAUAUAUAUAUAUAUAUAUAUAUAUAGCAACACACACAUGAACAUAAGCCAAUGGAGGUCGGUCACUUGACACCUGUGGAAUCAUCUUUGCACUCAUCAUCCACAGUGAGUAUACUGUGUAGAAUUCAUGAUUAGCCACCCUAACUUCGCACUACAAACGAGUUUUAUUCGUCCACUAUAAACAGGCCGUUUUUUUUUUAGGCUCAUCAAUAGCUAAUAUAUAUAUGGUGAACAGAAGCUUUGUUGAUCUCAACAUAGACUGACAACCAACUGCUAUUCCAUUAUCCUUCGUAGGUCGUUGUAUCACCAAAAACCACAACCGAUUCAAGUAGCAGAUGACUCACCUGAACAGGUAAAAAAAUGACUAUAAAGAAUAAAUAUCAGAUGAGUAAACAAAACCAACCCACAGGCAUAAGUCAAUUACAACAAGGUCGUGUGACCAGAAAAGUCGGUACGUAUACAAUUACGUGAACAAAGUGACAACAUCUCUCCUAUACCCCCUAACUAUCAACAUCCUCGGCACAUUUUCAACUAAGAGAUCCAUAUACUCCAUGUAAAAGUACGCUGGGUGGUUUAGAGGUGGUGGUGGGAGGCUGACAAGCACGACCGCAGACAUCCGUGAGUAUCUCAGAAUGGUCGAGUUCAACUUCAGGGUCGUGUAAAGGAACUUGUCAACCUGCUGCUCAUUCACCACCACUGGCUUCCCAUCGGCCAUUAGUGGUUUCCCUUCAUUCCUAGCAGUCUCCUUCAUCUCAGCUAGGUAGGAAGCAAUUCGACGUUGUGCACCCGUGAAUGCCUCCGCCGAUUCAUCCUGCUGGUCCCCCGCAUCAACAUGUGCCUCCCAUGACUUCAUUGUUAUAACAAUCACCUCAGCCUGCAUGCGGAGGUCAUAAAGGAACUUCUUAACAUCAGCCUUCAGCUCUUCAGCCUCUGUGUCCUCUUCGGCAAUGCAGAACACCUGAAUCUUGCAGCUCUCAAAACUCUCUUUUGUUAGAAGGAGCUGAGAUAGGAGAAGCAUAAGGCCCCCAUCUCUCACAAUCCAGUAUAGGUCAAUUGUUCCGUAUUGUCUCUGAUAUUCGCCGGGCCAUUCAUCAAGGCCCUUGACAAUCACGACUGCCUUGUUGGCAAUAAUGCAAUCAUUGAUAAUGCUGACAAAGGUGGAUGGAAUCUGGGUGAGGUUUUCACGACGCCAAAUCUCAGGAUAUCGCAUAACCACAAUAUUGGGCUUAAGGUUGCCUAGCCCCAUUGUCUGGACAAUACCACGAAACCCAUCAGACAUUGUGGGAGCAACUAUGAUCUCAGCUACUCCUUCACAGCGCUUGUAGUCUAUGUAAGUGCUCAUCUGACGACAAGCUGUCUUUGCAUCCUCAGCUAAUUCAUGAUAGUCACCAUCGAUAAUCGAGACAAAGAUCGACAUCCCGCGACCUUUCUUCUUCAUGCAAUUAGCAAAAUCUGCAAGCUUUGGAUGACAUGGAACAUUUUCUGGCAGCUUUCCCCAUGGCCGACAGAAGAUGAGGGGAAUAGGGUACCAGUUUUUAGGGUGUACCUGGUUUGCUUCAAGAUAAGACAAACAUAAUAAGUUAAUCAUGUAAUAAAGAUAAAUUCUAAGAAGACUCGUAAACAAAUUCAUGCAUUUUAUGGUAAGUGGAGACUUGACAAUUCUUUAAUAGAUAAAUACAAGGAGGGCAUCAAGUUGCCAAUAUCACAAUAUGAAAUUCAGAGACAGUUGUGAUAAAAAAUGGCAUGUUUCAUGCAAAAUUUGGCAAUUCAGUUUCCGUGACAGAACAGGUGAAAACAUGGUGUCACUAUGAAGAGAAAUGUUGUAAUAUCUUUGGUUAGUUUCAACCAGACCAAGUUAUGUAGACAACUAUCAUUUGCAAGUUUGUGCUUCCCGAGGCCUUUGUAUAUUUGCAAAAAUGGCACAUAGAUACAGAGGACAUAAGAAGGUCAGAAAACGUAGCAAACAAUCUCAUUCAUGAAGCAAUGAUGAUAUUGAUAACAUAUCUCUCGUGAAUGAAUGGAGCAUGUGACAUAUUUGUAAAUUGAUAGUUGACAAUAAACUUGAAGGUUAAACAAAUCAGAUGAAUGAUUAUGAAAUUAUAUGCAUUUUAACAUGCUGCAGAUGUGCUGUAUUGCCAUUGUACAGUGCAGGGUCAAAUCUUCAGACACAUUCCUCUGAACCAUACAAUAGUGAACAGAAAAAUUUCUUAGUCCAAUUAUCUUGCUUAUCUUUUCCAGGGUCUUAUCUCUCUGGAGAUGUACUUUAAACUCUCUUUUAUUGUAAUUACAGAUCGAGUGAGAGAGGUUGUUGGGUUGAUCCCUCAAAGGACACAUUCCCUCCAUCUAAAGAUAACUUUUAUUAUGGUAUACUUCACAAAUUCAGAAUGCAGUAUUUGACGCUGAUGUUAAUGGUACACACACUAAGUACUGUCAUUGCUAUAUAAUACCAUUUCAUGGUGCACUGAGCAAUCAGUGAUAGAACAUUUUUUCUCAAAUCAUCAUGAAAGCAGAAUAACAUGUAGGCAUACCUCCCAGUGAUCGAAGACUGCGAAGGGCCAGUUGAAAAUAGGCACUCUUGAAUCCAUCUCCCCAAUCUCCAGCUUUCCCUUUUAUGCUCACAUAAUAAUAAAUGAGGCUAGCAAGGGCCAGAGACACCACAGUGAAUGACCAGGAGAUAAGGAACAUGAUCACUGGAUAAAUAAAAAAAAUCUUAGAUAUGAAUCAGUUUAUUGGACAAAAAUAAUUCAUCCAUGCAUAUCCUACAUUUCAACUUUCCAACUUUAAAAGACAUAGAUUUUAUAUUUUUAUUGGUUCUUUUAAUAUCCCCAAGAAAAAGUUACUGCAUGAAGAAAGAAACAGCUAAGGAAUCUAUACAUUUUUUACUUAAUGCUACUUGCCAUGUAGUGUUUUUUUUUUUUUCAUACGGUAAGUUGUGCAGGCAGGAUUCUAUCCCAGGAUUUAGCUAAAAGUAUUUGUUUUACUAUUUCCAUUUUAAAAAUUUGUCAAAUGUAUUCUGACAUUAUUAAUGUUUAACCAUUCAAAUCAGACCAUUAAUAUGACUUAAGUUCUCUUUGUGGCAAAUUCUUCUUUCAUAGUGUAAUGAUACGUUCACACAACAGCUUACAACCUGAUGAAGAAAAUAUGUACUUCAGCGUUUGAAACACAAACAAACAAUUGAAGGAAACAUCAGACGAUAUCAAUGGUCAUAUAUAAGCUUAUAUAAAAUACUCUAAUAUUUUAUUUCAAGUAUGCCACGAACGCAAGAAAGCAAAUGCUUCAACCAGUUAAUUGAUCCACAAUAAAUCACCAAUCAAUCUUAGACAAUCUAUAGUCAACUUAUGGAUUGUCAUCAUCAAUUGCUCUUGGAUCUCAGUCAUUACAAUUUUCACGCUUUGGAUCCUGUCUUCCUUUUCUUAGUAACUCUUCUGAUACAUAUUAUCAUUUUAUCCUGAUUUUAUGCCUUGCCAUGCUACCAUUAAUAUAAUCAUUGGCACAAUAACCUGGAGCUUGUAACAUUUUGCAUGUCUAUCCUGCUAAAGCUCAUUUUUAGCUGAAAUUCGAAAACAAGAAACCGUGCUACCCUUCUUGCACCAUAAAAAUCUCCAAAAGCAUAUUGGCUAUUUUUGACUCAAAGUUGCCUAAGCAAGAAGACAACCUACCUUUUUUACCUAAGCAGCACACAACCAUAAUCAUUCUUAAACAAACCAUAAGCCAACUCAUAGAUUAUGAAAAUAAAAUGAGAUCUACGUACUAACCUGAUUUUUAUUAAUUUAAAGUAAUUAUUCCAACAUCAACAUCAUUAUAGUACAGUUGCUAUAGCCAUUCAAUUGAAAGCAGUCUUGGUUAGAAAUCAAUAAAAUGUUUUUAGGUGCAUAACUAUAACAUUUAACUGGUCACAUAAUGAGAAAUGGCAUAUUAAAUAGAUCUAAGAGGAGGCUUUAAAUGGUCAAGUCCUUAAGAUCAAGCAAAUCUUAAUAACUCGGAAGCGGUAGCAGGUCACCGGUUAGUUGAGGAAGAUAAUACUUGAUGAUGAGUAAGCACUAUCAUGAACCAUCAUUGUAAAUCAUGCCACCAAUUUUCUAUAACACAUACUUGAAACCUCUAAAGGGUAUUUGGCUAUUACUAGUUUCUACAUGCCAAGUAUCUCUUGUUAUGACAAACCAGAUGCUUGGAAAUGUGUCUAUAACUAAAUUAUCAGUUCACUUCCAUAUAAUACUGCAGCUAACAAAAAAAACAAACUGCUAUCUUAUAAAUGACAUAAUUACCAUCCAAAGAUUUCCAUCACAAUCCUAAAAUAUUUGUCACAUUUUUAUCUUGUCAUAUCCACAAGAAAAUUUUCCACAUUGCUUUUCCGUGAUUCUAUGGCCAACCAGCAGUACUAGUGGCCCUAAACUUGCCUACUUCUUUCUGUACACUAUAACUUGAUCUAACAUAGCUACUUCCAUUAUGCUACAGUUGGCAUAGCUUAUACAAGUUUAUUCCUGGGACACGUAUCAACAUCUAGCUUGCCAGAUGGUAGAGAUGAUAAAGAAAUAUCCCGAACUUAUGUAACAUACCAAUGCACAUCAAUGCUCCAAGAAGUGAGAGGCUCCAGUGAUGAAACUUCCAUCUAGGGCGCCAGCUAGGAGCAUCAAGCAGGUCAAGAAGGAAGCAAGACAAAUUAACUCCCGCAUAACAUAGAAGGAAGAACAUAGUUAUAGUAGGUGUGAUCAGAUCCAGGUUCCCAAUCACAACACAGCAAAUACAAAUAAAGGCUGUAAAGAGCGUUGCCAAAUGAGGUUCUCCCCCUUCUGUGACCUUGAAAUAAUUAAGAACAGGGAGAAUGUCAUCAUUUGCUAUUGCUGCAAGCAGGCGUGGGGCACCUGUCAAACUCUGAAGCGCUGCACCUAAAGUGGAGAGAACAAUCCCAACAUAUAUAAUUGCUGGAAGGGGCCAAGCAAUCUCUGCAGUCAGAAGCCUGCACAAAGUUCCAUAUUAGAAAUUCAAGCAAAGAAAUAAGACACAAGUAACUUCAAACAGAUAUAUGCUUUUAACUUCAAAGGUUAGAGAGCCAAUGGCAUAUUAGCAUUAGCCAAAACCAUAAUGUUAAAUUGGUAUGCAACAAAAACCAACUAAAAUAUAAGAUUUCAGAGAAGAAAGCCAAAAUCCUAUGAUCCAUUGAAUACAAGGUGGUCCAUGAUCAAAUGUGCGCAACUACAACAAUACUCAUUUAGAGGGUAUAUUCGUUACUACUUUGAGUAGUUUGACGAUUGAGAAUCAUUUUUUUUGUAGAGAUUCAAUUGGAUUAAUAAUUUAGUUAAUAAGACAAGUGUUGAGAGUUCUAGAUGUUUUUCCUUAUAAGAAAAAGAUCUUCUCCCAUAUGUUUUAACUAACGAUCUUAACCUAAUAAAAUGCUAAAAAGGUUUUUGGCAUGGAAAGAAUUGUUGAUAAAUUUAUGAUAAAAUUAAUCACAAAUACAUCAAUAUUUCUCUUGUUUCUCUCUAUUUAUGUAAUGCUUUAGUUCAUCAACAGUCAGUAGAACAGCAUAUACCUACCAAUCAUCAGAAUAUUCUACAAUAGCUGUUUCUCCCAACAGCAAAUCUAUAUUUAUAAUUAGGUACAUCAUAAUGACUUAUAUCAUAUAUGCAUCAUAUAUAAGAUCCUAACCAUCACCCUGGCAUUCCAUGUAAGUUAUCGUUCCAAUCCUGAUCCAUCACCAAUCUAAUGCUCUGAAAAAAAAUUAGCAGGGUGAAAUGGUGGUGGUGCCAAACUAAGGUUCACAUAAAUUUCAGAUCAAAUGAAAAGUGGAUACACAGGCAAAAGACCACAGAACUUCAUAGUUUUUGUGUCAAAUAUUGUCAUUCAAGACCAAAACAGCACUAGGAAAAAUGUGGUACCGGUUUGUCAGUAGCUCUUCUCUAGUGGCCAAUGAUCCAAAGAGUAAUACUGAUAUCAAAUAUAAAAAGGAGGUGGUAAGUGUUGCAGCCAAUGUUCCAACUGGUAUAGAACGCUGUGUAUCCUUCAACGAUGCAGAUCGAUUUGAGCCAGCCAUAAUUCCUGUUACAGCUGGAAAAAAUAGGCCUACCAAUGCACUACAAAAAGGAUAGAGAAUUUCAGAAUGCCUAUACGAAAAAAGUUAAAACUAUAAUAUAUAUCAAGGAAUUAGAAGGCGUCAUAGUUACAUGCCAAGAUGUAUAUCAACAUUUGUUACAGUCACAUUUCCCCAAAGUAAACAAAAUCAACUAGUAAAUCUAAUAUCUAACAUUUUAAAAUUGAAUAAAUUAUGGCGUCACCUGAUUUAACAUUCACUAAUAAAACCUCUGAAAACUUAGAAAAAAACCGAACAUAUAUAUGCAGUAAAGGCUUACUUGAAGCUCCAAUAGACAGGUCCAUCUGGUUCAGGUAUUCCAGCAUUUGUAGUACGUUGAUAAGCAGAACUCCAAUUGUCUUUCAAUGUUUGUGAUCUUAACCCUGUUAUGCCACCUGUGCCCAAUUCCAAAGAGAGCAACAUAGGCAUGAGAUACCAUAAAAGAAUUGCAAGUUCAUGUACAUCACUUCAUGCAAAGUGAAGUCUGAAAAAGACUGAACUUUGAAGUAGUAACUAAGAUAACCAUAUGCAUAAAGAAGUAUUUAAUAAAGGGAUCUUACUUGAAGCAUUACUCCUUGGAGCUGUGAAGGUUCCAACAAAUAUGCAGAAAAGUGAAAAAAGGACAGGAAUCAAGAAAGCCGGUGCUACCCUAUUUAUAAUCUUGACACCACCAAAUACGAUGAAGCAGAGAAGUAUAACCACAAUAACUCCAUAAACUUGCAGGUCAUGCAAGCUUGGAGUAGAUACAGUUGUUACUACCUCAGAUAUUGUGCCAUUAGCUGCUGUGGUAUUGCUGACGACUGUCACAGACUCUGAAAAAAAAAGAGGGGACAAUCCAAAAAACAAUUUAACAAGACUAUGCAGACAAUUAAGUAUAUUUAUCAAUGAUUUUCAAGUACAUAACAUAAUUCAAGAUCCUAGUUAAAUAUUAAAACAUGACUAAAAACCCAAUCAAAGCAUCUCUUGAAUUGUUAUUGGAGCUUCUCAUAGUUCACGAAAACUGAUCCAUAAAAAAACACUCUCAAUCCCUUUUCUUCACUAAAUGCACUUCCCCAAGCAAUAUUGUUUUAUUAUAAAAAGAAGCAAUUUCAUGUGCACCCUCUAAAUGUCAAAACAUCUUUAUCAAUGACAUUCAAGGACAUAUCUGUUUUGAAAACCAAAAAAAGUUCAAAAUACCAUCAAAUAUGCCCAUGCAUUAGCUUCCUUCAAAUGACUUGGUUAGCUAUGAUCAGGUUGUGAGUUAGAUCAAGGAUCCACAUGAAGUGGCUAUUGGCACAUGCCAUGCUAAUGCUAUGCCAAGUGCCUAUAUAGGCCUGCUGCUGACACAAAAUAGAACCCAGAACAAAGGAGAAACAAUAGAUAACCAGAGAAAGAAAUAUAUAUACCUCAAACAGAGGGGCAUCACUAUUAAAAAAGUUCAGCCCAAUACACAAGUAUCCAUCAAAUCAGGGCUUGACAUUAAUUCUAGAAACCCAAAAAAAAAAUCAAAAGACCUUUGGAUAAGGCAAACAUGGUGUGUUCCGCAGGGGGUUAUUAAAACAAAUAGCAUGUUGGCACAACAUGUUCAAAUUUACACAAGUUAAAAUUACCACCUUGGCAAUCCAUUUAAGCCACCAUUUAAGCCUUUGACUUCUGACCAGCACAUGUAGUAUACAUGUGUCUAAGGCAAACAUGGCAAGGUCCGCAGGGGGUUAUUAUACAUGUAGGAUACAUGUGUAGUAUUCAUUUUGUCUGAGGCAAACAUGGUAAGGUCUGCAGGGGGUUAUUAACACAAAUAGAAUGUUGGCACAGGAUGUUCAAGUUUACACAGUUGAAAUUACCUCCUUGGCAAUCCUUUAUAUGCCACCAUUUAAGCCUUUGACAUCUGACCAACACAUGUAGCAUACAGGUGAUUAAUCUCUGAUAGCUUGUCAUCUGGGCUUGGCCAAUCUUGAUCCUAGCAUGUGCUAACUUGAAUGGUCUCAUCAUGUUGGAAAAGGAAGAUAGAGAAAAAAGCAAGAGAAAGAAAGAAGGUAAGCAUUAGAUUGGUGGACAUCAAGAGCAGUGAAGAAAAAAAGCAGAGGUGGUAGGAAAUGCGAGAGGGAGAAUAAGUGAGGACAACUAUUGAGCAAAUGGCUCAUAAUCAAUUAGAUACAAAUGAAUGGGAGAUGUGAAUGAUUCUUAGCGAAACUUAUCAUGUGUAUUGGUAAUCAUUGUAUUUAAAACAUGAAGAUACAAUUAUUUAAGGUGGUAGACAGAAAAAAAAAAUUUUAAACAAAUGACCUCUAUAUUAUUUAUAUCUAAAUGUUUUGACAAUCAUUGUGGGUGCCCAAGCCAAAACACGCUCUAGAAGCUAGGCACCUACCCAACACCAAAUCAUAGAGGGCCCCAAGGGCUUCAGAUUACUUGGCUGCCUAUUAAACUUCAUGAUGGCAUAGCUACACUUCUUGCCAGCAUUUCAUAGUUGCCACAUUUCAAAAUCUGUGAUUAUUCAGGAAAAACUGACACAUUGUGGAUCUUGACUAAGCAAGGAUAUGUAAAGCAUGAGGAGCAAGAGCUCCCAAAAGAUUGCUUAUCGGAGAUUUAUAAAUUAGUUCCAAAGAGCAAAGAGCUAACAAUGAUAUUAUUAAACAUCAGAUAUGCUAACAGCUGAAAAAAAUCCAAUAAAUUACUCAUUGAAAAUGUCAAGGACAGUCAUGUGGAUGGCAAAAACAGAGUACCUUCUUGUGCUAACUAAGAGCCCACAAAUUUGAAAAUUGAUAUCCCUAAAAGGUUUUAUGCUUAGUGAUCCUUUACUUUGUGAUACCUUCAGUUAUAGCCAGCUGAAAGUCUAAUUGACUUUCCAUCUAUACUAGUUUCUGCAUAAAUUCUGUUGGAAUAGUGUAUAAUUCUAUCACUUCCAAUAUAUGACAGUAAUUCAUUAAAGGUGAGUUUGGUAUUUUAAAGCUGAUUGUAUUUAGAAGAUGCUCUUAUGCUAAUCUAAAAUCAAAUAUACAUAUAUUAUUUAAAAUUUAGCAAUCAAGUAUCAGAAAGAAAAAAAAAAUCACAUAUCUUGCAUGUUUUGGCCAUUACCUUAGUUACACUACCUUCCAAAAUUGUUGACAUCCUACUAAAUGUCAAAUAAGUACAUUUUCAUAUUCAAAACCAUUUUUUCUUACUAUGUAACUGCCAUUUUUCUAUGAAUUCUCCAUGACAAACUUAUCAGAUGAUCUGGUUAGAUUAGCAUCUAACCAGUCAACUCCCAUAUCCAAUAUGGUGAUCUGUGGUAUGAGCACUGAAUUUCUAUACUACAAGCUUUUUUCAAAGCAAAAGCUUAAUCCAAUUUCCACAACCAUCAUAGUGGUUUACCUCUAAAGAAUCCAGCACCUGGCACAGCACCCAAGAAGGUCUCCACAGCUCCCAAAACAUACCUGAAACAAUAACAGAGUUAAAAUAACUAGAUUCCAGAACUAGGAAACCAAGUUACCAUAAUUAAACAAUCUAAAAACACUACUUGCAUCAAAUAUCCAAACUUAAAGGCAAUAUGUAUGCGUUGGUUACUCAUUAAAAAAGAAAACUAAGGAGAGCUUAGGCCUAGUUGUUCUCAUGGCACCUAUAAGUUGAAUUUGUUCAUCUCUCCUCAAUGUAUGUAGUUCAUAUUCUUUAAAGAUUUCUUAUUGGUCUUCAUCUUAAUCACAGAAACUGCCACUUACAACUUGCCAGCAACAUAAUCUUUUUUUUUUAAUAUCAUAUUCAUAAAUGUCAGAUUCAGAAUCCUAUUCUCAGCAGUAUUAACUUUCUGUGAUGUUUUCUUUCUAAUUGUCCUAUUUGGCUCCUUAAAACAUAAAUAGUCUGAUAAUUUCCUUGACAAAUCUUCCUUUUUUACUUUAAGCAUCCUUCUCUUAUUUAAUGUGACACUCUCUUUUUAUCUCUUCUUGAAUAGUGCACUCCAGUAAUUGAAAAGUUCUAAAUUUUGGCAUUUCUUGAGAAUCUAUUAUUUAUGUUUCAUUUGUUAAUUACAAUUUGAGAGUAAUCUUUGAACCACAUUAAGAUUGCUCCUCUUAGCAAGUGCAAGCUAUCACCAACAGAGAUAACAAAGCUGAACUAUAGAUACUGUUAAAGGAGAAGAAAGAUAACAACUUGAAUUAAGCCACAAGGCCUUAUAAUCACUCAUGUAUGUAAGACUUGUCAAAGAGAAGUUUCUGUUUUCGAUACAACUUAUACUAAUGAGAUGACUCAUACAUGGGUCAAGAAGUAAUGGUGUAUCCAACUCUAUAAGGAGAAGUUCAACUUAAUACUACUUGGAAUAGUAGAGGACGGAUACAUUCCCAACCCACUUGUUAUAAAAUUUAAAAGGAGGAAGCAGAAAAGGCUCCUCACCCACUUGUACUGGUAAUAGAAUAUGAUUCGAUUUCUUUUUGAUAGAUUUUUUUUGUUACUAUUGUUUCAUUAAAAUUUUACAUUAGUAUUUUACUAUUUUGUAAAAGUAUGACAUUAUUUUUUGUUACUCGUACUGGUAAUAGUUUAAGGUCUCCAGAGUCCUACUAUGUAAUAAAGGUAUGAAAUUUAUUUUUUUAUUAGGAUUUGUAUUGGACAGUCUAAAGUUUUUAUUUUUGGUGGAACUUUUAAAGAUGAUAAAACUUCCAAAAUCAGAACUUUUUCUCCCAUAACUCACAUAUAUUAGUGAUUAUAUGCCUUGAAGGCAGAGAAGAAAGAUAUUUAAACUUUAAUCUCUUAGAGGUUCCUCUCUCCCUGAAAAAAGUGAAACUCCAGGCAAGAAGGGCAACACCUAGCUCAAAGCUAUCAUCUGACCGUUUUUUAUAUGUUCAUUUCUGACAAUGACAUAUCUCAAUUCUUGAUAUUCCUACAUUUUUCAUAAGCUUAAUAUCAUGAUUUUUAGGCAUCAGCUGCUUCAUGGACCUCUAUCAUUAACUUCCUUUACAACUCAGACAUCUACAUAGACUCCCCAAGCAAUUAUUCUUUUAAUUCUCAGAAAGCAAGAAAAUAUGCAUGCAUAUUUCACCAUGAAUUUGUAAGGCAUAUGUACCAAGGCAUGUAAGCUGACAACAGCUUCACGCACAGUAUGUGCCAGUAAAUAAUAUCUAAGCACCAUAAUUGCUUAUGAAACACAUGGAAAAAAUGUGUAAUAGAACAGAUCAAUGUGUGCAUGUGGCUCCUUGAUCUUGUACCUUUCCAUUUUAGCUUUCAAUAAUAUAAGAUUCCAGAAUUAAUUCAUCUUAAUAUCCAAAACAAAGGCAUUAAUCAAUUUACUAUGUCAAUUAGCACAGCGAGUUCAUUCUCAUUUCACUUGGUGCACAUUUAAAAGGAAAAAAGGUUAACUCUAAUUUCAUGUCAAUAUCAUUAAAAAAUUUUCAUUAGUUUAAUUUAAGGACAAAUAUAAGCCAAGAAACCGUCAGCCCAAAUUUAAGUAGAACUGUCAAGGCAAUCCAUUUCUGAAUGGCACCAAGUUCCCACCCUAGGUAAGUUUGCCGAACUAAUAAAAAUGAACAAGAGGGCUGUCUGCCAUUGCAGGUUAAGCUCUCAUCUAUGGGGAACCAGGAGUUCAAACUUAUGUUUAGACUUUGUUAAAGUCAACAUGAAUGGAAAAUAAUGUUUUAUUCGUUCUGAUCUCUAAGUAAUCUAUGUCAAAUAAUCAAAUGACAAGCUUUCCACCAUAAAUAGUCUUAUUUGCAACAUGUUGAUACCCAUUUGAACUAAAGCAUCAAUUCUUGCAAAAAGGGGCACAAGUCACUCAGAUGUUGUCAUCUAAGACAUGAUUGGGCAGACAGAUCUGAAAGUGCAAAACAAAAGACAGAAAUACAGAAAUAUAAGAAGUUAACCCAAGGCAGACUUACAUAGCACCAGCAACUGCGUUACCAAGGAAGAAGCAUAAUCCAAUACUCACUCCAACUUCUGGACCCAGAGCCCGACCGAUUAGAUAAUAUGGGCCACCACCCUGAAUGAUCAUAGUAAAUGAGAAGAAAAUCUAAUCCAAAAUUGAUAUGCUAGAAAGGUAACAAGGAUAAUUUUGAUCAGCAGAUACUAUAAAUUACAAAAAAAUAAGCCCAUAAAGAAGAUGCAACUGAUUAUCUAAGGAAUAGCAUAUUCUGUUAGAUGUUUAAGUUGGUAUUCAUGAUUCGGCAAGUUAUCAAGACCAGAUUAAUUUGACAGUUCCCAACCUUGAUUAACUGUCAAAAGUUGUUCAACUUGGUGUACAAUUUGUUAUAAUCAGACAAGAAGAAUCUCUAAGCACCCAAAAAAGAGGUUUAGCUAUAUUAUUAGACUUUUCCCAACUGUUACUUUCAUGCAUCAUGGAAAAUGCCCAUUCCAGAUAAUACCAGGUCUACAAACUCUCCAAGCCACAGCAAUAUGUAAUAAACCUAAAUCCGAAACUAAAGAACCACAGAUCUUUAAAACAAGACAAAUAAACAUUUCUCAACCAACAAAAUUCAUAAACAAUGAAGAUAAAGUUUACCUUCAUUGCCCCAUUUGUUGCAAUUGCACUUAAUGAUAUACCCGUUAAAAAAGUGCAACAUCCGCAGAAUGCAACCAGUAAAAAUGCCUCACCAAUGCCAGCCAUACCCACAAUCCUACAGAAACAAUAACCAAAUAUUGUCAGCUUACUAAGUUCAAAUGCAAAUGAAGAGAAUGAAAAUGUUAAAACUGAAUGCUAGAAUUAUGCUAAUUAUCAACUUAUAAUCAAUAUUACUUAAAAAUUUAUGAUAGUGAUAACAGAUAUAUAGUCAACAACAUAAUAUGUUUAGUCAGAGGUGUAUAUUAAAAUCAUUGGCAUGUAAGUAAGGAAAAAUGAAUAAUAAUCCACUCAAAACUGAGCUCAAUGCUCAAAGGGCACAACUUCCACAUUGUCACAGGAGGCAGCCUAUUCAGGUAGGAAGUCAAUGCCUACAUUUUAGCGAACACCAUCUAGGCAUCAGGUCAGGUGAUCCGACAAGCAGCUAGAUGGGGUUUGAGUGGCCACCUAAAUCCUUAAAGUACACCUUUUCCCCUUUACCAUAAUUAUUACAUAAGUAAAGAGUAAUAUAAUUUCAUCCAAAAAAUACUAUCAUGAUAAUGAAUGUAUUCUUUGCUCAAUUACACAUGCUUUCAAAACAUAAUGUAUGAAUUAAUAGAAUUAUUAAUUCCAUUUCUGAUUGGUUCUACUCAAAUUUAUGUUAGUACUUUAAUUGCUCUCACAAACCUAGGACUAUGAUAAGAAUACUCACAUGACCUAUACAAAAUACUUAAUGCAAGACGACUUCACAUGAUAAACUGUAUGUUUUACUAACUUACAGAUUAUCAGAAGUAUUGACAUUAUUUUUAGCCUUUAAGCCACAGUAAAGUUGCUCCUCCUUUUGCAACCCAGGUGACCAAAACUUGAAUCACGAAAAGAACCUUACUGCUUGCAAGGUAACGCUACAUAUAGUGAUCCUCCUCAAACCAACAAUGGCACAAGCCUCAUGCUCUAGGCAGCCCAUCCAUAUAGAACUUUAUGUAUCUUUUAUGGCAAUGUUUCUGUGCACCCACCUGCAUACCAUUGGCAGGACACUCAUGCAGUGCACUAACCUUUUCUAUACCAAAUCUAUAUAAUUCUCAAGGAAAUUUUUUAUGCAUUAUCAUGUGCACCCUGGCCUCCUGCCUAUGCAUUUAAAGGGUUAAGGCCUACUAAUUACACUCAGUAAUUCAAACUGAGAAGAGAAUAAGGUGCUAACAAACAAAGUCUCCAUUAUUUGAUGAGAUUUACAGAAAGGGGACUUAAUACUAACUGCAGACAAUGAUGACCCGGCCUCCUGUCUAUGCAUUUAAAGGGUUAAGGCCUACGAAUUACACUCAGUAAUUCAAAUUGAGAAAAGAAUAAGGUGUUAAAAAACAAAAUCUCCAUUAUUUGAUGAGAUUUACAGAAAGGGGACUUAAUACUAACUGCAGACAAUGAUAUGAUGCUAUGUUGCUCAAACUUGGAUACAGCGUCAUGUACGGAAAUGAUCAUAGCAUCUGACAUGGUCAUCCUAUUAACUAAAGAUAGAGGGAUACAGUAGAAAAAGAAUCAAUUUAAAAUAAGAUAUAGGGAUAAGAGACCAAAUCAAAAAAUAUUAAAAUAUUAUAUAACAUAUUUCAAUUAUAAUAUUAAAAUGAUCUAAAGUUAACAAAAACAUAACUAAACAUAACUUUUCUUUCCUUCCUUUUCUUUUUUCUCUCUUCUCUGUUCUAUUCUUAUUUUUCUUCUUCUUUUUAUCCUAUCUUUAUUUUCCUCCUUUGAUCAAUGGAUGGCCAAGAUGCUGUAGGCUGAUUUUCUGUAAGGCCUUGGAAUAGAUUAGAUGUUACUGAAUCUUAAGUUCCAUCAUCUGUGACAUCACCUCUGUCUCUCUCUCUCUCUCUCUCUCUCUCUCUUGCUUUUUGUGAGUGCACACGUGCAUUCAACAGUGUACAGUAGCAUGUUGGCUAUGAGAACAUCAAUGGUAAUAACUGCAGAGAAACUAUGGCAGCAGCAAAGGAGGGUCAACCAUCUCCUCCUACUCAUCCACCAAUUUCCAUUCUUUGCUAACAAAGGAUCAGCAAGAAUCUGCUGAUAUUGACUUAAGUUUGAUAACUCUAGCUGAUUUUUGGCCAAGUUGGGUCAAUUCCCAGCUGAGUCUCAGUUCAAUUGUUUCCAGUCAAAUCUGAGUCAAAGAGCAUACCAGCACUAGUAGCAUGUUACAUCAACAUUGAUUUCAAGGGCAUAGAUGCCAAAUCUGAGCAUCAUAUAUGUAAUGUAUCAGAAAAUUGAUGAAGUCAUAAGUAACAUCUUAACAAAUGGAAACAGAAAACAAGGUAUUCCCACCAAGACACCACAAAAUGAAAUUUAUCAAAAUUUAAAUAGUAUAUUGUGUAACAGGUAAAGAGGCUUCAUCAAGUAGCCUCAGCACAAUGAUUGCACUUCAUACUUAAUAACAACAGAUUUUGUCAUGUAUGGUAGCCAUUUCUUUUCAACUGCAAUGGAUAAUAAUUGGUCUUGGUUUCAAUAACAUGUAAUAUUAUUGCUAUAAUAAAAAAUACUCUUUACUUGUGAGUUGUGCCUAUGCUCAGUGAAGUUCAUUUUGCCCACUAUUUGUUAAAAAGCCAAGUAAAUCAACACAAGAGGUAAAAUAUGAGUGUCCGCUACACUUCAUCAUUGUAUCAUAAAGAUAGGAAAUUUUUGAGAUCAUCUUAUCAUUGUUGCCUCAAGUCUCUCCAUCACAAUUGUAUCUUAGCCAAAGGGGAGACCAGUAUAAGGAAAUAAUCAUCAAAUUAGCAAGAUAAAAUCACUCCAAUACUUAAAUUGACAAGUUAUAUUCUAGAAGAACCCUUAAUGUCAAUGUUGUGAUCAUUUACUUACGAGAAGCUUCAUGAAAAAAAAAACCUACAGCGUUCAUGCUAAAAUCAACAUUCGACAGGGAAGUGAAAGUAUAAUGCACUUCACCAGGAAAAACGGAUAUAGUAUAUGAUUCCCAAGAUGUUCUGCAAACAAGGUAUAAACACACCCAUCAUAGUCCCCAACUUGGGGCCAGCAACCUGCAGAACAGAAUUAAGUCCAACUAAUAUGCUAAACAUAAAUAUAUUUGAAGUUAUGUGCAACUACAGUAAUCAUCUUAAGAUUUGGCACAAAAAGAUUAUUGUACUGCAGAAACAUAACAAUAGAAGGGCAAAAGGACAAGGACAAGCUACUAAUAGGAGACUUCAUAUAGUUUAAGUACAAGGUAUGCAAUACCGUACCAUACCGGUGUUUCGAGGUUGGCUCGGUAUGGUACGGUACCAGCAUACCGAGCGGUACACCAGUGUGUACCGAGCGGUACACUAGGGUGUACUGAACAAUUUUAUAUAUUUUCUUCUUUACUGUAGCACUAUAGCACGUUCCGUCCGAUACCGGUCAGUCCGCGUACCGGCAUGCUAUCGGACCGGUAGGUACCACCCAUACCUAGCACAUACAUAGUUAUUGAUUAGAACAAUAUGCUUUGACACUAUAAAUAAGUGUCGAGCUUGGCUACAUACAUAGUUAAAAAAUACUAUGGCCUUCUUCAUUCCAAGGUUUUAACUUUUAAGUACAAACUGGACCAGUAUAUACAGAUUGGUAUAUAUGAUCCAAUCAAGUACCAAUACUGUAACAAAUGUGUUCACAUAUGGAUAUAUACCAUUUACUUAUUUUCUUAAUUAUUUUAUUCAAUAGUAGGAGUCUUGUAUAUUCACCUUUUUAUAUACCUAGCAGUAUAGGUCAGGAUACCUCCUGACAUUGAACUGGUUUCUAAAUCUUUGCUCCAUACCAAAUUCUACUAUCUCAAUUCUAAUGUAUUAGUGUAUCCAUAACUUGUCAAAAAAGUAUCCAGCAUGCAUAAGCAUGCUAGUGCAUAUUGCAUAGUAUAAUGCUUAGUUAGCAGUAAACAGAAAAUAAAAAACACAAUACAUUAACUUAAUGAAUCUAGUUCACAUUUAGACAUCCAGCAUUGUGUAAUAUCUAACAGCAGAACUUUUAUUUCAUGUAAAAUUGAAAAAAAAAAAAAAGAAGGCUUUGUAGCUGUUGAAAUAUUAACAUGGACAUUGAAUGAAAAGUAAUUGACUUAAACUGGUUAAUGGAUCAUAUUUGUCAAUCAUUCCUUUGAUAGGCUUCUAAUGAUGUUGCUGCAAAUAAUAGAUACUUUCUCACAACAUUUAACCCAGGUUACCUUUAACCUUUUCCUCCUCUUCCAUAAUUAUUGGAAACCCUAAAAGCUCCUUAAGCAAGAAACCUCAGAACUUCCAUGUUACAUGGCCAAUUAGUCAUAACCAUCAUUGAUUGCUUCCUUCAUUUAUUGGUCUUUGAAUAAACUAAAACCUACACCUCUUAAUAUGGUGCUUACUCAUGUGUCCUUCCUAUUCACCACACAUCAACCUGAACAUGCUUUGUGCGUGAGUAGAAAUUUCUCCAGGCUUGCAAUGCUUUUCUAGUUCAUCCUGCUCUACUUUCAUUAGACUAUUUGUGACCAGAAAAUUAAAUAUUGGUACCAAUACAAUGCUGGAAUGUGGUUGGACCAGCAUGUGAUGGUUGUUAUGGUGUUGAAAUAUACCCAAAGAUUAUAUAAUGUCAUAAUUUGGCUAAAAUUAACACCAUCAUACCAAUACCCAGUCAGACCAGUAUGUACCAGGUGAAAUGACAACACACAAAUUUCAAUUUAGAUAUUGCUUGUUCAAAGACCAAACAAAGACCAAAACCUAAAAACAUAUUUGCAAUGAAGUAAGGCCAUGGUAAAAAAAUGGUGCACGAGGAUCCCACCAGGUAUAGGAUGGGUCUGUCAAUAUAGGCAACCUUAUCCAUACAUGUAGAAAGACUAUUACCGUGAGAACCUAGAUACAAGUGAAAGAAGUUUGCUUUAUUGUAUUGAUCAAAAUCCUCCAGUUACCAUUUCAUUAUGCAGAACUUGUAACCAUUUCCUGCGAAGCUCCUAGCAUUGUUCUUAGAUCUGAAUCAAUCAUGUUUUGUCAUUACACUAUGUUAAUGAUAAAAACAAUUUUGUUUUCUUACAGCUGUUUGUACCUCUUGCAGCUUCCAUAUCUAUUAUACAAUAAUGAAUAAUGUUCUCAAUUUUUUUGUCUGGAUGCAAUUUACUAGCUUCUGAUCCGUAAUGUUCUUUCAUUAUGUAAAUCAAGGUAUGCAAUACCGUACCGUACCGGUGUUUCGAGGUUGGCUCGAUACGGUACGGUACCAUGUACCGAGCAGUACGCUAGGGCGUACUGAGCGGCACACCUAAUUUAGGUGUAAAACUCUCCGAAAAUACCUGAAAAUAAAAAAAAGAAGUUAGGAUAGAAUUUUUAAGUUAGAAAUAAAUAUAGUAAUAGCAUAAGUUUAGCAAAAUCAAUGUAAAUUAAGUAAGAAUAGUAUCACAUAUCUUUUUCGAGCUUUGAAGAAUAUUUUGUGCAAGGUUCGUAUUUCAGUCCAUUAUGAAUUGUCCUUAUGUAAACAUACCUGUUGAUUAGAAAGUUCUUCCUUUUAAUCUUCCCAAAUUAGCCUCGAUUCAAUUCACAAAUCGUUGUUUUGUAGAGUUUAGGAGUGCACAAAUAUGAGAAAAAAAGAGUUUGAAAUAGUUUAAGAGAGUAUGAGAAUGUAAUGAAGUGAAAUAGGGAAGAAGAAGGAUUUAAAUACUAUGAGAAAGGGCUCCAACGGUCAAUUUGACCGUUGGAGCACUGUAUCAUUGUUACCGAGCGGUUUUAAAUAUUUCUUCCUCUUACUGGAGCACUGUAGCAUGUUCCGUCCGGUAGCGGACGGUCCGUGUACCGGUAUACCAUCGAACCGGUACGUACCGCCCGUAUCGGGUGGUACUAUUCGAAAUUGCAUACCUUGAUGUAAAUUGCAUAAGCUAAUAUGUUGUAAUCAUGCUCUACCAAGGUAUGCAAUUUCUAAUGGUACCGUCCGGUACGGGCGAUACAUACCGAUCCGACGACAUACCUGUACACAGACUGCCCACUAUCGGGUGGAAUGUUUAAAAGCGUCCCGUAUCGGACGAUACGGGAUAAUAUCGGGCGGUAACGGUCGAAAUUUCGACCGUUACCGCCUGGCACAGCUUGGUAACAGUCGAAAUCGACCGUUACCGCCCGACACAGCUCGGUAACGGUCGAAAUCGACCGUUACUGCUCGAUAGCAGUGCUAUAGUGCUCCAACGGUUAAAUUGACCGUUGGAGCCCUUUCUCAUAGUAUACCUUAUUCUCCUCUAUUUCACUCCAUUACAUUCUUAUACUCUUUUAAACUAUCUCAAACUCUUUUUUUCUCACAUUUGUGCUCUCUUAAACUCUACAAAACAAUGAUUGAAUUGAAUGGAGGUUAAUUUGGAAAGAUUAAGAGGAAGAACUUUCUAAUCAAGAGGUAUGCAUUCUCUCUCUUUAAUUAAAGAAUAAUUAAGAGCUUUAAUAUUAUGAUUAGUGUGUUUAAUAUUGAUUAAUUCAAAAUUAGAUACUUAAUAGGUCAAAUAUUUAUAUUUAAUAUAUAUUAAAUAUUAAAAAAUAUUUAUGAUAAUAAAAUAAGUUUAAUUAGAUUUUAUUAAAGUUAUUGAAUGCUGCGAUUAGUGAUUUUAAUGAUGAUUUAAUCGAAAUUUAUUCGAUUUUAUAUCAAUUCAAUGUCUUUAAUACCUAUUAGGGUAUUUGCCAUGUUUAUAGUGUUGAAAGAGAAGUAAUUAGUGAUAAAUUAACUAAGUUAAUCAUGUAAUUAGUGUAUCUAAUGAUGAUUUCAUCAUAAUUUGAACUAUAUUGGAUCAAAAUUAUAUAUUUAAUACUUUUUUUAUGUGUUUGACAUAUAUAUGAUGGUAAAAUAAGUUUAAUUAGGUUUUAUUAAAGUUAUUUAAUGCUGCGAUUAGUCAUCUUAAUAAUGAUUUAAUCAAAAUUUGAUUAAUUUUAUAUCAACUUAAUGUCUUUAAUACCUAUUAGGGUGUUUGACAUUUUUAUAAUAUUGAAAGAGAAGUAAUUAAUGAGUAAUUAACUAUGUUAAUUAGAUGAUUAAUGUAUCUAAUGAUGAUUUUAUCAUAAUUUGAACCAGAUCAAAAUUAUGUAUUUAAUGCUUCUUUUAUGUAUGUAACAUAUUUAUGAUGAUAAAAUAUAAUUAGUUAUGUUUUAAUAAAAUUAUUUAAUACUGCGAUUAGUGAUUUUUUUAUCGAUAUUUGAUCAAUUCAAUAUGUUUAUAUUUUAUAGUUUAUUUGAUUUAAAUUUGGUAAGAUCAUGACACCAAAGGAACCGCCACAUGAUGAUGCAUGGGUUCAUGCCCGCAAGAUAGAUGGGAACUGUCAUCAUUGACAAUGUAUUUAUUGUGACUACAUUGGCAAGGGUGGAGGAAUAACUUAGGUGAAAAUUGAUCUGGUUGGCGGGUAUCCUGAUGUUGCAAAUUGCAAGAACAUUCCGACGGAGAUCCGUAAAUUAUUUCAAAACAAGUUACAAUAAGCAAAGGAAGAUACAUUAAAAAAGAAAGCAAGCGUUGAAGAAGAAUAUUAUAAGGCUACACAGGAACUAGUUUAUGAUCAAUAUGAGAGUUGCGGCGAUCAAGUCGACCCGGAUCUCAUAAUUGGGAUUCGUGAAUCAUUGGAGCAUCAGUAUACGGUCGAUGAAGCAAUGAGACAUCGACGACCUGACUCACAAUUGGAGCAUGGCAGUGGUAGUGGAAUCCAGAGGUUGGCCAACAUGAGGCAGCCAACUGCUCCUUCUCAGUUAGGCCGAACUAGUAGUAUGAGGUAUGGUGGACUCCGUGGUUUUAUGAGAGGUCUUGGCAGGAGGUCCGCACCAGAUAUUGUUGAUAUUGAUCCACAAGCUUAUCCCCCACAAACAGCGAAACAAAUACGGAUUGACGAUGCAUACAAAAAAAAAAAAAGGGAUAUUAGGAAGGCAAUCUCAAAAUGGUUCAACUUCCAUAGGAUUCCAGUCAACACAACCCAAAGUCCAUAUUAUCAGAGCAUGGUCUCUUCUAUUCAAAAGUUUGGCACGGGGAUCCAACCUCCAACAUCAAAAGAGAUUUACGGCGUGUACUUAAAUGAGGAGGUGGCAGAACUAAAGGAUUUGAUCAAAUCCUUCAAGAGGCAAUGGGACGAAUAUGGGGUGACACUGAUGUGUAACAGUUGGACAGGACCAACAAGAAUGAGUAUCAUUAACUUUCUUGUUUAUUGCAAUAGAAAAGUGGUGUUUUAUAAGUUCGUUAAUGCUUCUGAAAAGAUCCAAGAUGCAAACUACAUUGAGAGCUUGAUGGACACUUUAGUAGAGGAGAUUAGACCACAGUAUGUUGUCCAAAUAAUAAUAACCGACAAUAGAGUGAAUUUCAAGAAGGCCAGUUUGUAAUUGAUGGAAAAAAAAUAUUAUUUUAGACUCCAUGUGCAGCUCAUUACAUAGAUCUAAUGCUGAAGGAUAUUGGUGAGCUAGAUGCAGUCAAGAAUUGUGUAGCUCGAGCACAAUCAAUUACAAAGUUUAUAUAUAAUCAUCAUUUAGUCCAUGCUUUAAUGCAAAAGUAUGUAAACGAUGAGAUACUCCGACCUGGAAUUACUCGAUUUGCUACCAAUUUUAUUGCAUUAAAGUCAUUACAACAAAAAAAACAUAGCUUGAAGGCAAUGGUCACCUCACAAGAGUGGUCUGAUUCUAUAUAUUCGAGAUUGAGCGAUAGAAAGAAGAUAGAAAAGUCCAUUCUUUCCUCUAGAUUUUAGGAGACUACAGUAGAAAUCAUAAAAGGUAUGGAACCACUUUAUAUUGUCCUUUGUAAGGUCGAUAUGGACAAGCGUCCACAGAUGCCGUAUCUUAAAUAUAUGUUGAUUUCAGCAAGAGAGAAGGUCAGGAAAGCAUUCAAAGAUGAUUUUAAGGCCGACCAAUACGUACGGAUCAUUGAUCGUCGGAUUGAAGUUUAUAUGGAUCAAGAUAUCCAUAAUACAGGUAAAUUCAUAUUCAUAAUAAUUUAAUUUAUUAUUUUUUAAAUAAUAAAAAAUCAUACUAACAAAAUUAUGUCUUGUAGCGUAUUAUCUAAACCCGACAAUUCAAUAUCGAUAUACUCUCGGAAUACAAAAUAAUUUACUAACAACACUACGAAAUGUUAUAUAUCGACUCUUGCCAAACACUACUGAUGCAGUCGAUGCUCCUAUGGAGGGUCGAUUAUUUCGAGAAACAGUUGGUUCAUUCUCCGACGUUGUAGCUGUAUCGUGUCGUUACACUAUAGAUCCUGGUGAGGAAAAGUUACACAUAUUGAUUAUCAAUUAUAUUUAAUGUUAAUUAUUUAUUAUACUAAUAAAAUCUUAUUUAUAUCUUUUUGCAGUCGAGUGGUGGCUACAAUUUAGAGGGGAUGUACCACAUUUAAGGAAGGUUGUCGUUCAUGUAUUUUCACAAACGACAACAUCUAGUGGUUGUGGACGUAAUUGGUCAACGUUUGCAUUGAUUCACACGAAGGUCCGCAACAAACUCUCCUACAAACGAUUAGAGAAACUAGUAUAUGUCCAUUAUAGCAUGCAACAUGCUGAGCUAGAUAAGGAGAUAGAGGAACCAUAUAUUGAUCCCAUUGACCUCCAAUUCUACAACGAAGAUUCAGAGCCGAUGUUAGAUUGGGUUGAAGCAGCAGAGAACCAAGAGGAUCCUCUACUUGAUGAGGUGGGAGAUCCUCAGCGUCUUUCACAUUUUAUCACCGAGGCAAUAGAAGAAAAAGAAGCACAACCCCAACAGGUGGGAAAUCCCCCUCGAUCACAACGUGGUAGGAGUCCAACAACAUCAAGUCAAACUGCUCGAGGAACUACAGACACCCAACGAUCACAAUCAUCCGCCCAACGUGCAAAGGCAAAGGGGAAGGCAGUAGCAUCAGUUGCAUCGUUGGAAAGAAUCGAGUCGGGUGACGAGACACCUUCACAAUCACAUUCAGCAACUCGCUCGGUCCAGAGACAUGAUAGAAGCACGGACAACAGUGCCUCGACGGAUGAUGGCGGUGAUGUCGGGCAGUCGUUGGUCUCGUCUACACAACUUGAGGGUGGUGCAUGGACCGAGGAGCAAUAUUUUACACAUGCCACCCAAAAUUCAGAUCAUGGAACUCGACAAGGUACUGGUCAAGUUUAUGCGUGGAAAGGGAAGGGGAAGGCAGUGGAAGAAUUUGAGCAAAUAUGACAGAGCCUACAUGAUGUAGACACAGAAAGAAGCUCAUCGUAUUCACACUCAUCGUAUUAUGGAGAAUCAUACGGGUAAAAGUAGUAUGGUGAUAGUUGGUCAUCCUUCUCUGAGCAACAGUAUGAUACAGAGCAGUAGAUCAAUAGCGAAAGUAGAAGCUCUAACAUUCACCAAUAUAUGCCUCGAGAGCUGCCUCGGACAAAUGUGAUUUAUGACGAUCAGCCUACGAUCAACACCGCAUUGAUGCAUCAAUAGCAUACGGUAUAUCAAUACACUAUAUCAUGGGAUCAAUUUCAUGAUUGGGUCCAACAAACAUAUCAUAUUGAUAUGCAGAUGUAUAGGAUCGAGGACCCCGAUCCACCACCCGUGGAGGCCCGUCGUUCGUUUUGGUGGUAGAAUCAACAAUCAAGUAUAUCUACAUAUGUGAUUAUUUAAUUCAUUUAAAUUUUAGAGUUUAUAUUGUAAUAAAAUAGUCUAACAAUUCAAAUGAUUUUUCUGUAGAUAUUUCAAUAUUUACAUAAAGACAAUCCGUAAUGGACUGUCCGAAAAAGAUAUGUGAUAUUAUUCUUACCUAAUUUACAUUGAUUUUGCUAAACUUAUACUAUUACUAUAUUU